CCAUCUUUUAUUAUCUUCUCGCACACCAGGCAGGGUUAAUUUCAUACAGGUUCCUACAAAUAUAGUGAAUGAAAAAUAUAUCCUUACAAAGUUCAACUUUCAUAUGUUCUCACUACAAAAGUUCUGAUGUUUUCAAAUAUGUCUUUUUGAUUUGUUACUGUUAGAGAACUGUUUAUAUUUUCAAUUUUGUCAUCACAAGUAUAUCCCUCCAAAAUCCAUAACAGUAUAAUAUAAAAAAGUAAAAAUAUGAAAAACUAACCAGAGUUACGCAGUUAACCUAUGGUUAACUAAAUUUAUCUAACGGAUUCUAACAGUAAGAAUAUAUUUGAAAACAUCAGAACUUUUGUAGGAACACCAUAUAAAAAUUAAACCUUGUAGGAAUAUAUUUGUCAUUCGCUAUGUUUGCAGGAAUCUGUAUGAAAUUCACCCAUAUAUAAAAGGGAAGAUACAGACAACGAGAUCAAUCUCAAUUGAUCAAACCCAAUCUAUUCUGUCUAUAACAAAUGACAAAAUUAUCAUCUUAUGUAGAGAAUUUGUGUUCACAAAAUUACAAAAAAUCAACUCUCUAUCUUCUAAGAGGAUUUGAGUCCUAUCUUGGUUCCACACUUCUUGGCUUCUACAAUAUUAAUGCCAAUUCCAAUUCCUCAAAUAAAACAAAUAAAAAAAUAGAAAACUAAUCCCAUUCUCUGACACACCCCUCCAAAAAAAAAAUAAAAAUGAUAGGUUUGCAUGUCAAUCUCCUAGCAUUGUAUUAAUGCUACCCAAUAGGCCAACAUUGACAUAUUUAAUUAGAACAACAUUCAACUUACAAUCUAUUGUUAAAUAUGAAGUUAAAUCUAAGAUGCGGAUUCUUCUAGGUCACACUAGGUUGAUUUGACAAUUAAUAUUAUUAAAUAUAAUUUAAAUUAUUUAAGUUUUAUAUAAAUUAAACUUUAUGAUAUCAUAAUUAUUUUUAUAUAAUAAUCAGAGUAUUAUGAAUUAUGCUGGUGGUACACUUAAAACUAGGUUGUAGAUUUUAUAUCCCUAUCUAUUGGAUGAAUAAGGUGUAAAAUUUAUAAUAAAAAAUAGGCAUAUAAGUAGCAUUUAUCAUUAUAAAUUAAAAUUAAUUUCAUACAUAUCCUUCCUCCAAUCUUUAAUUACAUAGAUAUUCCUCUCAAAAUAUAAAUUUAAAAAGAAUAAUUAUCUAUAUACCCCUCAAAAUUUUACAAAUAUCUAAUUUGCCUUAUUUUCUUUUGUGUUUUCUUUUUUUUUUUUUGAGAGAUAGGUAGUACGCUACCUGCUUCGUUUAUUUCAUUUAGAAAUAAAUUUAGCUAAAAAUGUGAAUCAACUAGGAUUCGAACUUAGGUCUCGGAUACCAACCAUCAAGCCCUUUGCCACUUGCUCUAGGGACGGUUGGUUUUUCUUUUGUGUUUUCAAUAUACCAUUCAUAUGUUUCUUUGUUAUUCAAAAAUACCCCCGCAGUUACCACCCGCUAAGUUAUCUCAAAUUAAACGUGAGUUAAAUAUCUAUCAGAGUUAAAAAAAAUAAAAUAUCUCUUUUGUCUCUAACUCAAGGGCAAGUAAAAAUGUUAGUGAUGAUAGAACAUAUAUUUGAAAUGACCAAAAAUUAAAAUACUUCUUUUGCUCCUAACUUAAGGACAAAUAACAAAAGUUGGUAAUAGUAGAAGGUAUAUUUGAAAGGAGUAAAAUAGUAAUUUUAAAAAGAUAAAAACUAUUGCCAACAGUUCACUAACACAGUUUAAUUCUAGAAAUAUAUUUGAAAUAAUUUGAACAUAAAAAAGGUAUUUCUUAUAAGAUUAAUUCAUACAGGUCCCUGCAAAAUAGUAAAUUGUAAAUAUAUUCCUACAAAGUUCAACUUUUAUAUAUUGUUCCUGUAAAAGUUCUGAUGUUUUCAAAUAUGUCCCUCUAGUUAGUUACCAUAUCACUCACAGAUUAUUUAAUAGGAAAAUGUACGAAAAAUUAUCAUAAUAUCCAAACUGGUAAUAAUUUAUUAAAAAACAACAUAACAUUUUUUUUGUUUUGUCCAUCAUCUAUUAUCUAUAUCAUUUUAAUUAACAUAAAUACUAUUUUGUUUUAAAAUAUUAUAAAUACAAUUCAAUUUAUACUAAUCUAAUUGCAACAAACUACACUAUAUAAAUAGUAAAUAAAAAAUCAUAUUAAUUUAGAUAAAGAGAAAAAAAGAUUAACAAAAAAUAUAUAUAAUAUAUUUUUAGUUUCAGCUAAUUUUUUAUUAUGAUUAACAUGAGAACCAUAAGAUAUUGAUAAAAAAAACUUGAGUACGCAAAAAAUACAUUUUAUAAAUUGAAUUAAAGUUAGUUUUUGCUAAAAAAUAAAUUUAUUAGCCUUAUAUAAUACGACACAAUUAUUAUAAUUAGAAAUAGCUAAAAGUAAAUUAGUCUAAAACUCUAAUCAUUGUAAUGGAGGGCAUUUUUGAUAUAAUUCAUUAAUUUAUAAGGGUAAAAAUGAUGUGAACAAUUUUAAAUGAGUAUCCACAUGAUUUAUAACUUUUGAGGGACACGUUUGGAAUUACACUAUAAAUUAUAUAAAAUUUUCAAGCUAUUAAAAUAUUAAGUAAAUGAUGUCAAAAUUUUUGCUUUUGAAAUUAUUCAGAUAAUCUAAAUUACAUUUAACAACGCACAUUAUUCUUUGAAACACAAUACAAAUUAAGACUCCCCUAUUAUAGGCCAUUUUUAAAUUAAUUGCUCAACUUUUAUUUUGUUUCGGUAAAAACGUUCAGAACUUAUCUGAAUUACAAACUAUUUUAAUUUAAUUAUUCAAUCUUUUAAAAUUUAAUUUUACUGACCAAACUUUUGAUUUGUUAGAUUUGAGUUAGUCAACGUCGCUUCGACUUCAAUAUGUAAAUUAAUUAUGUUUUAAUAAAUUUAUAAUUGUGAGAAUUAUAUGAAAUAUAUUCACAAAAGCUGUAAAGAUAAGCUACGCAUUCAAAUUUUGAAAUUACAUAUAUAACAAAUAACUUACUUCUUUUAACUUUUGAUUCAAAAAAAUUAAGUGAAUUUUAAUAAAUUAAAUUAAAAUUUAAAUUAAUAUUAUUAUCUAAUCUAUUAAAUUUAACAAAAUUCUAAUUAUUUUAUAGGCAAUAAAUUAAAAAUAAUUAAUAAUAAUAAAUAGUUAACAGAGUCAUGAGCUGAGAAAACAAAUCAGCCUAAGUCAGAAAUUUAGAAUAUGUGAAUGAAAGAAUAAGAAAAUUGAGAAGCCUAUUUGAAAAAUGGGCUCUAGUUAAUGAGACUAAUUCAUACUUUUCUUCUUUUUUUUUUUUUUUUUUUACUUACAUAAAUUUAUUAAAUAGAAUAAACAGAAAAUGACAUGAACAUAAUUUUUUUUAGGAUAAACUUCAGAUACCACUCCUGUGGUUUCGCACUUUCUCAUUUUAGUACCCUGUAAUUUAAAAUGUAUCAAGUUAGUGUCAUGUGGUUCCAUUUUUAUGUUUUCGUCAGUUCUUCGUUAAUAUUUCGUUAAAUUAUAUAAAAAAAGCUUCAGAUACUCUACCUAGGUUUAUCAAAUAUUCACUUUAGUAUUCUUUAAUUUUAACUUUGUCACUGAUUUAACGAAAAAAUUUAGUAGAAUCGAUAAUAAAAAUAUAAAAAUAAAAUCACAGGAUACUAAAUUGAUAUACUUUAAACCACAGAGUAUUAAAGUGAAAAAGUGUGAAACCAUAUAGGUGGUAUUUGAAGUUUAUUAUUAUUUUUUUUUUAUAUAUAGUUUACUCAUAUAUGAUUACUCACCUACCAGUUAGUGCACUUAAGGUUUUUUUUUUUUUUUUUUAAAGAAAAUUUGUGAUAUUAUCGAAAGUUGCAGCUAAGUAGGCUAGAGCUAGGUGGUUGAAAAAAAUUGAAUUUAAAAAAAAAAAAUGUGCGGUGAAUGUGAUGGCUUGGUGCACCUGGUUCAUUACGUGGUGCGCCCGGUUCACUUAACAGUUUCUUCUUGUAACGCUGAGGCAUAUUAUAUGAUCACCAUAAUGAUCAUCAAUCUACCUUUUUUUUUCAUUAGGUCAUUAAUCUAAUUAUUGAAGCCUUUUGCUGAUUGAUAUAAUUUUUUGGUCAAAGUAAGAUGGUAAGUUUGCUUGUAAAAGAUGUCACGCCACAUAAAUGCACAAAAGAAUAUAUAAAUAAUUAUUUAUUGUAUUGAUUAAUUUUAUUUACUUUUUUAUAUUUUUAGCGUCUUAUUUUAUUUUUUCAUUUCUUCUUUUAUGUUAAAUAUAAAAAUAUUUAAAAUCGCUAUCUUUUAAUUUAAAUUUUUAGAGUACAAUAAUUAUUUUACGUAGUAUUAGAGUAGAAAAUUUUGAGUUUGAGUUACGGCAAACUCCUUAAUGCUUCCGACCAAGAAAACGAAUUAUUCAAAAAACAUAAAAUUUUGUUAACAAAGAAUAAAAAAAUAAACUUUUAAAACAAUUUUACUAAGAGAGAGAAUCAAAAUUCUUAUUUAUUACCAGCAAUGUUAUUUUUGCUACUACACAGUAUAUAUGGAAGAAUCUAUGUUAUGCUAUACUUUAUUAACUUGUUACUUCUCACCAUUAUUCGCAAUCAUUGUCGAUCACCAUUGUUGCUGCUAUAUUGUUACUUGAUGCUCUCCUCAGUAGUAUCGUUGUUAUCGCCGCUGCAAACGUUACUGCUAGUGGUAUCACUAGUACCAGAUACUACUAUACUGCGUAACUCGUCGGCGAAAUUUUGAAUGUUCCGAUCGGACGACCCGCCCUCCGCGACGGCAGCUGCCGCCGCCUCCUUCCACUUGGCGGCCCGCGCCCUCAUCCCCUCCGCCUCCGGCCGCCGCACCCCGACUCCGUAAACGUCCACCAGAAACUUGGCGUUCGUGACCUGAUCCCCCCACUGCGGGAACGCGAUCACCGGCAGCCCUGCCGACAGUGCCUCCAGCGUCGAGUUCCACCCGCAGUGCGUCAGGAAGCACCCGACGGCCGGGUGGCUCAGCACGCGGUCCUGCGGACUCCACCCGACCACGAACCCUCGACGUCCCACAUCCCCCUCGGUUGUUGUCAAACCUUCCAGAAAGUCCUCCGGCAGCAAGCCGCGGCUCUCCUGCCGGACGACCCACAGAAACGGCCGGCCGGAGUCCCGCAAUCCCCAGGCCAUCUCUGCCAUCUCGUCGGCCGUCAGCACGACGACGCUGCCCACCGAGACGUACGCGACAGACUGCCUUUCCUGCGCGUCGAGCCACGACAUGCAGUCGUCGGCGGGCGUUAAGAGGUCCCCGCGGAAGGGGUCGGUGAGCGGGCCGACGGGGGUGAGGGGGCGGAGGGAGGAGAAGGCUGCGAUAGCGUCGUGCUCGAGCUCGUUGAAGGAGUUGGCGAGCAGCCAGCGGGCCUUCCCGAGGUUGCCGAAGCUGGCGAGGAUGGUGUCGGCGAGGAGUUUGUAGGGGUUGGAAGGGUGGAGGAAGGAGGGGACGUCGGCGGCGGAGAGCGGCGGGAGGCCGGGGAGGGAGACGGGGGGGUCGGAGUCGGAGAGAGGGAAGGCUGCCAGGCGGUGGUGGUAGUGGUAGUAGGCCGAGAAGACCGCGCACGACUGCACCCAGAGGACGGCCGCAGGGAUGCCGAGACCUUCCGCGACGUCGAGCGCCCACGGCAGGAACGGGCUGCCGACGACGCAGGUGACGGGGACGGUCUGGCGGCGGAGGAGCGCGGCCAGGGAGGGAGGGCCGGCGGACGCGAGGUGGCGCAUGAGGUCGUCGAGUGCUGCCAGCGGGCCGGACGGCUGGUCGGAGAGGAAGUCGAAGCGGAAGUUCGGAAGGGGAGAAACAUCGGAGGAGGAGGAGAGGAGGCGGGCGCCGAUGUCGGAGGUGGAGGUGAAGGUGACGAGCAGGCCCUUCGCCGCCAGGCGCCGCGCCAGGCGGAGCACCGGGUUCACGUGGCCCUGCCCCGGGAAUGCGAUCAGAAGCACAUGCGGCGAAGUCGCCGCAGCAGCAGACGACGACGACGACGACGACGACAAAGAGUCUUCUCCCAUAUUAUAUAUGCUCGUUAAAAUUAGAGUAGAGUGCAGCGAAAAUUUACAAACUAAAUACGUAGUAGGUCUGUGGGCGUGGUAGAGACGGGGGCAAUAUAAAUGAGAGGGGCGAUGUAGUAGGUGUGUGGGUGUGGUAGAGAUGCGGGCAAUAUAAAUGAGAGGGACGCUGGGGAAAGUGCGUUCGGGCUGAGGGAAAUGGAUAGGAUUGUUAAUGACCAAGCAGUUUUUUUUUUUUAAUUUUUUCCUUUUGUCUUCUGUGAAAGGCAAUGAUGUAUGCAGUGUUUUAUUUGCAAUAACUUUUAUAUAUAUGUAUAUAUAUAUAUUAUUUUUUUUUUUGUUAUAUAGUAUAUUAUAUAGAGCUAGCUGACUAUAUAUCUAUAUCCGAGCUCCGGUAUACGAUUAUAGUAUUUGGUUUUCGAUCUGGUGGAGGCGUUCAGAAUCAACGAUCCACACGUUAAAAACUGGGAGUGCGGGUAGGGGUAUUUGAAAGUUCCAGAAAUAAAAUUUAGGUAGUAGUUUUUCAGCAUAGUUUUACUUUUGAGAGUCGAAACUAUUUCAAAAUUAUGCGAGUGAAUGGGUGGUGGUAGGGUGAUGAGUUUGGAGGGUUUACGGGGUAGAAGAUAUCUAAUUUCUUCGAACUUUGGGAUAGAAAGAUGUAUUUUAAACGGUUGGUGAGUGAGGAUGUCAAGGUGUGACAUUCGUGGACGUUGGAGAUUUAAAGUGCGGUGAGGUAGUGCAGAGAGUGUAGGGAAGAUUACUUUAAUUUCACCGGCCAUUUGAUAUAAGUUGAUUUACUACAUAAACGAGUAUCGAAAAAAACUAAAAAUUUUUAUUCCUAGAAAUUCAUAUACCCUAGAUCAUAUUUAACGGUGUGGGAUCGUUGAUGUUGACGCGUAAGAUCGGAAAACGAAACGACUAUUGAGUACCGGAGCUCGGUACUAUAGAUAGUAUAGGUAACCGAAUUAUAUUAUAGUAUAUAUAUAUAUAUCAUAGUAUAUGAUUUAUAUAGUAUUAUAUAUAGUAUAUAAUAUAUAUAUAUAAUAGGUAUAUAUUAUAUCAAUAUAGUCCGCUAUGGUGCGUUGUAAAAGCCCCAGCACUUGUGCUUGUAAGUUUCUUUACCGUUAAGAUCUACUUCUCGGAAUCAUUUUCAACCAUUAAAUUAAGAUUGAUACUAUUCAGCACACCCACUCUACUCAACCCUGGACGGGGGGCCCACAUCUCCUCACCGCAUAUGCUCUUAAAUCCAAUUGGAUAAAAAUCUACAACGACCAAUAACUUGGUACUUUAAAGUAUGGAGCUGCAUUUAGUAUACAUAUAUAGGUGCGGCUCUAUACUCUUGAAUGAGUAUAGAGCCUCUUGUACUAUAGUUUUUUUACCUUUUAUUUUUCUUUACUCCCUUUUUUUUUAAUUUUUUCCCAAUUUUUUACGUUUUAUAUUAUACUAUCAACCAAACUCACCAACUCAACCCUUAGGUCUCACUAUAUACUUAACCGAAUCACUCUCAUUCUAAUCUGCACAUUUUUUCAUCCUAACUUCCUAAAUUAUAUUAUUACAAUAUUAUCUCUAAUACUCAUAUAUUAUAUUAUCCCCAUCCUAAUAUAUUAUAUACAUAUAUAUAAUAUAUGUUAAUAGUAUUUAUAUAAUAUAUUAUUAUUAUAUAUAUAUGUAGUGUGGUGUGUGUUGUGAGUAUGUUGUGUGAGUAGGGUUAGGGUUGUGUUAUAUGGAAUUUUAUUAUUGUGUGUGUUUUGUUGUAAGGUGGGUCAUGCUGUCUUGUUCUGUCUGAGUAGGUUUGCUGAGGAGGUGCGUUUAAGUGUUGAUUCUUUUGUGGUUAUCUUAGAGUAUGCUUGUUGUGUGUGUGUGUUGUCUAGUGUGUUGAACGUGUGGACUGUGACUAACGGGUACCGCCAUGCUUCAGCCAGGGUGUGGGAGUACAUCUCGAGGUCCGCGAGUGAUCUCGUCGAGUUCAUGUUAUGUUGUGAGGCCCUCGCGGGGGCGGGUAGAGGUAGUUUUUUUAGGUGAUGGUGGUCUUGAGGACGGGGUGGUGUGAGGGGGUGGUGGGUGUUAGGUGAUAUUGUGGGGGGGUUAGUAUAUAUAUAUAUAUAAAAUCAAAAACACCACAUUAAAGAACUAUAUACAAUAAUCAAAAACACCACAUUAAAGAACUAAUAUAGUUUUCUUUUUAAAAAAUUUGGGAAAUUUCAAAUACCAUCCGUAAUUUUACAUUUACUCACUUUAGUAUCUUAUAAUUUACAGUAUAUCAAUUUAAUAUUCUGUGGUUUUAUUUUUCUCUUUUUAUUAUCAAUUUCACUAUUUUUUUUGUUAAAUGAGUGACAAAGUUAAAACUAAAAGGUACUAAAGUGAAUAUUCGAUAAAUUUAAGUGGAAUAUCUGAAGUUUUUUAUAUAUAAUUUGAUAAAAUAUUAACAAAUGAGCUGACGAAAAAAAAAAAAAUGAAACCACGGGACACUAACUUGAUACAUUUUAAACUAAAGGAUACUAAAAUAAGAAACUGCGAAACCAAAAGAGUGGAAUUUGAUGUUUACCCUAUGGAUGCGUUUGGUUCGCAUUAUAAAAGAUUACUAGGAAUGAAAAGAUGUCCGAGAAUUUUAUUCCUAUUCAUUCUAUUACUAAGAAUGUGAAAUUCCUGUAUUUGGUUCGCACGGUCAUAUUAUUUAGCCAUAUUAUUUAUGGUUACAAAAAAUAUACUAUUUAUUUAUUUAUUUAAUUAAUUAAUUUUAGAUAAUGCUAUCAAAAAUUUCAGCAUCUUUUUUUAAAAAAAUGAGAGAGAGUAUAGGUUAGAGAGAGCAUAAUUAAAAAAAUACAAAGAGAAAUAGAGUCGAAAUUAGAGGGAGUGAGAGAGUUGAGAUUUUAGAAAAAGAGGAAGAGAGAAAGCUUAGUUUAGAGAGAGAAAAAUAGUUGAAUUUUAGAGAGAAAGAUAAGUUUAGAGAGAGAUAUGAGAUUAGAGUGUAAAGAAAAAUAAUACCAAUUAGCCGGCGGAUAGGGAGAAAGAAAGAGAUUAGACAUAUUAUGAUUAUUUCAAUCCAUUAAUAUGAGGAUACCCAUCCUCUCUCAAAGGAAUGAGAUUAGUACUUUAGGAUGAAUUUUAUUCCCAAAUAAAUCUAAUAUUACCAAUUAGAUUACUUAGUACCUUUAGUCAAACACCGUCAUAUUUUUUUAUUUCUAUUGGAUUAUUAAAAAUCUUUAAAAGAUAGCGCGAACCAAACGCACUCUAUAAAUUUUGUAUGAGUUACGUUUGUAUAUACUAACUGAUAUUAAAUACUGUAUAUUAAAUACUGUAUAUAAUAGUUAGUUGUUGUUGUCUAAGUAAAGCGAUAAAGCAAUUUAAAAAAGAAAAAAACACCUUGGAAUCUACAAAUUUUAUUUGAAUUUUUAUAAAAAUAAUAUCAAAAACUGUCCUGAUUAUUAAUUAGAAAAAGGGCAUUGAAAAAAGUGGAUGGAUAUAUUAUUAUUUGAUUUUAAAUAUGAGUUUAUUACUGAUCUAAUGCUAGCUACCUUCCUAGCGAAAAAUUCUAGAAUGCAACGGGUAUAUUAGUGACGUGGCGUAACAAAUCAAUCAAAUUAAUUCUUUUAAGAAUAUAUGUCCCAUCAUGAUUGUAAAAAAAUAUUUUUAUUAUACUUUUGUUUGGAAAAAAAGAAUAUGGUUGACUUAUUAUUAAUGACGUUGUGCAAGUGUGAUAGUGUAGAAUUCCUCCUUCCAGGUUUACCGAAACUGAACAGAGCCGUGUCAUGGAGGGCAAGAAUAUUUUAUUGGAAAAAAUGUACAAUCUGCAAACGUCCGGACACAGCUGAUCCGUGCACAAAUGGGUCUGUGGUUUCGAGAAGCGAAAAACGUGGGGCGGGGAAAAGCACUCACAGGAAUAUACUGUUUGUCUACUCUGAAUAACAUUUUUCCAUUUUGGACUCUCAAUUAGCACGUAUCUAUUUACUAUAUACUAAAGUAAAAUUUUUUAAAUAAUACUAUCACGUGACUUUUUAUAUAUUUAUCAUAUAUCAAACUCAAAUAUAAAAUAGCAAUUUUAUUAGAAAAUACUAUUAAAUCAAAUUAAAUCAAAUUAUAGUAAUUAACAAAUUAUACCAAUUAAAUAUAAUCAUAUAUACAAUUAGGAAACACUAUUAAAUCAAAUUAAAUCAAAUUAUACCAAUUAAAUAUAAUUAUAUAGAGCAGGGCUGCUGUGCUCUUAGGAGCACAUAGGCCUCCGUGCUCCUGAGCUAUUUUCGAUGAUGAAAUUUUCGAAUCGACGAUCGGCUCCGUUAGACUUGAUCUAGCACAUUUGAAGUUUCUAGAAAAUAAUUUUUGCGAUUUUUUGAUAUCAUUUACCUAGUGAUCGAAAGGAUUCAAAAUCCAUAGUUUUUAAUGAUUGAUAUCUGCCGUUUUCAAGUUUAACGGUGUAGAAGUAUUCAAAUUAGAUGAAAUUUUGAUACAAAAUUCUUUAUACUAUCUACAACAAGAUCAAUAUUUCUGAUCGAAAAUUGUAGUGCUAUAUCACCACUUUUUAUAGGAUUUUUAUUUUCAGCCGUUAAAAAUUAUUGAUUUUGAAUCCUUUCGAUUGCAAGGUAAAUAAUAUCGAAAAAUCGCAAAAAUUAUUUUCUAGAAACUUCAAAUACACUAGAUCAAGUUUAACGGAGCCGGUCGUCGAUUCGGAAACUCCAUCAUCGAAAACGGCUCAGGAGCAUGGAGGCCUCCGUGCUUCUUAGAGCACAGCAGCCCUGCUCUAAUUAUAUAUACAAUUAGAAAACACUAUUAAAUCAAAUUAAAUCAAAUUAUAUCAAUUAAAUAUAAUUAUAUAUAUAAUUAGAAAAUACUAUUAAAUCAAAUUAAAUCAAAUUAUACCAAUUAAAUUAAGUGUCUAUUAAAAGAAUUACGAUUCUCAUCUCUUUUUAGAGGAUGCACUGUUUUUGGGAACCCAUUGUUGUGCCAUAAGUCAAGUUUUUGCUAUCUUCAACAAGAAGUACUGCAUGAAAUUUCUUUUCGAGUUUUUUUUCAUUGUUUCUUAAUAUUCUCUAUGUGCCAUGCACCUAAUUAUAAAUAUUGCAUAUCACUUCUCUACUAUCACUUUUUCUGUAAUUUUCACUUCGUUUUAAUAAUAUUCGGUACAUUUCAGUUAAGUGGCUAUUGAGCAGUUUUUCUUAAUUCUUAGAUGUUGAUGCUUGAAAAUAGAACAUAUUGUUUUCAUUUUAUUAUUUAAAUACGAAACAAGUAUUAAUUUUUUUUUUUUCUGGAUGUCUUAUUGUUCUCAGGAUAUGUCACUUGAGUUUGAUUUUAUAAGUGACAUCACUCCUCUUGGAGACAAAUGGAAGAUCAAAGUUAGAGUGAUUUGUCUGUAUACUAUGCCUGAAUUUCAUCGUCCAGUGAUGGUGAAUAGUCUAGACUUAGUUCUUUCUGAUCAAAAUGUAAGAUACGACUGUUAUUGAAGCAGGUACUUUCAUCUUCAUGCAACAAAGUUUUUUUUUCCUUCAUAUUUUCUUGAAGACCAACAUCUAUAUAUAUUUGAAUCUUGGAAGUUGGUAUGUCUCUCAUAUACGUAUGCUUACUCUAAUUUGUGUCAAACAUGAAAGUUUAGUUGAUCUGAUUAUAUGAUUAAAUAUUAAUGUCAUUUGUAAUUUUUCACAUCAAUUUGAGUUCUCAUUUUGUUUUGUACAUCAAUAUGAAAAUGUAAAUUAUUUUGUACACCAAUUCAUAGAUAAUAGAACAGGGUUGAAUUUUUUAUCUUUACCUGAGUAUUUAUUUUGAUCCAUAAUUUUGUUUUUCUAGCUUUUAUACUUUAAUAUGUACUAUAAUUAAGAUUGAUAGUAUAUUUCUUUAUUUGUUAAAAAAAUAUAAUAUUAAUUAUAAUGUUUUUCUUUUAUCAUCACAUAAUAACUUUUGUUAUUUUAUAUUAGGGUUAUUUGCAUACACGUCGCUGCAAACAUAGUAAAUUGUAGAAAUAUUCCUGCAAAACGAAAAUUUCAUAAGUUGUCCCUACAAAAAUCAUAAGUUAUGCAGAUUUGUCUCUGCUGUUAGAGUCUGUUAGAGAAAUUUAGUUAACCACAGUUAAACUACUUAACCACGACUAGUUAAUAGUGUGAAUUUACGGUUCUACCCUUCUUCCUCAUCGUUCUCUUCCUUUUCCCUCUUCUUCAUCGCCGGCGACGAGAUGCGGCGACGGCGGCGACGUCGGCGAACCCUCUCCCUCUUCCUCUUCCCUCUUCUUCUUCCUCUCCCUCUUCCUCUUUCCUCUUCCUUUUCCCCUUCCUUCUUCCUCUCCCUCUUCCUCUUCCCUCUUCUUCGUCGCCGGCGAGGGAGAAGAUGCGGCGGCGGCGGCGGCGGCGAACCCUCUCCCUCUUCCUCUUCCUCUUCCUCUCCCUCUUUCUCUUCGCCCUUCUUCUUCCUCUCCUUUUUUCUCUUCCCUCUUCCUCAUCGCCGGCGAGGGAGGAGGUGAUUCGGCGAAGGCUGUGGCGGGGGCAAACCCUCUCCCUCUUCCUCUUCCUCUUCCUCUUCCCUCUUCCUUUCCUUCUUCCUCUUCCCACUUCUUCUUCCUCUCCCUCUUUCUCUUCCUUCCUCUUUGUCGCUGGCGAACCCGACCCCGCGUCGCCGCCGUUGUCCGCUCUGACGGCCCGAAGAGGAAGAGAAAGAGAAGGGGAAGAGGAUACUUUUGGAGGGAUAUAUUUGUGAGGGCAAAACAGUCUUUCACAAGAAAACUAUUAAAAAAUAAACAGUUCACUAACGGAAUUUAACGAAAGGGACAUAUCUGCAUAACUUAGGACUUUUGCAGGGACAACUUAUGGAAUUUCUGUUUUGUAGAGAUAUUUCUGUAAUUCACUAUAUUUGCAGGGACAUGUAUGCAAAUAACCCUUUAUAUUAUUAUGUUAGUCGUGCAUCGCACGGGUCAAAUACUAGUGGAUUAUAAUUAUUAUAGCUUAUAUAUAGAAUUAUGCUCAUAUAUUAUCGAUAGUAUCAAUCGCUUGAUGUUAUCAAUUUUUCAACCGUUGAAUAAAAGAAUGUUCUGAUUAGGAUGAUAGUGGUCUCUUAGAGUUGAUUGGGUGGUUGGUUGAAUAGUAUAAUUUAACGGAUAAAAAUGACCAAAGAGUAGAUAUAGCGCCAGAAAACUCGAUAGUACCAAAAACUUUGUACUAUCGAUAGUAUAAUAGCCGGACUCUCUCUCUCUCUCUAUAUAUAGAGAGAAAGAGAGAGAGAAAGUUGAGUUGGAAUACUAUUAAUAGUAUUUUAGCUCUUUUGCUAUCAAUUUUCUAGCCGUUAGAUCUACACUUUAAUAAAUUCCACCCGUUAGAUCAUACUAUUCAACCAACCACCCAAUCAACCCUAGAACAUCACUAUCAUCCUAAGCCUAUAAUUAUUGAUCCAAGGUUAAAAACUAUAUAGUAAAAGAGCUCAAAUACAUUAAUAGUAUUCCAGUCCAAUUAUAUACAUAUCUAUAUAGAGCUAGUCUCCUAUACUAUCUAAAGUAGCGGAGCUUCAGUACUAUAGUCUCGUUUUCGAUCUUAGGGUGUUCAAAUCAACGAUCCACAUCGUUAAAACUGAUCUAGUGUAUUUAAAGUCUUUAGAAAUAAAAUUUUAUAUUUUUUCGACAUAGUUUACUUUAUGAUCAAACCAUUUCAAAAUUGUCAAUUUUCAAUGGCUAUUAUGGCGAGUUUGGAGUUUAACGGCAUAGAAGAAUCUAAAUUUCUUCAAAUUUUGAUAAAAAUACUUUAAACUAUCUAGAUUAAGGUUAACAUUCUUGAUCUUGAAUUUAAAAAUCCUAUACUCAAAUUUUAAAGAUUAUUCAAUUUUCGCUAUCCAUUUUGACAUAAUUUAUUUACUAAGUAAACGAUGUCGAAAAAAACUAAAAUUUUAUUUCUAAGAACUUCAUAUACUCUAGAUCAUAUUUAACAGUGUGGAUCAUUAAUUUGAACACCCAAAGAUCGAAAACAAGACUAUAGUACCGGAGCUCCGGUACUAUAGAUAGUAUAAUAGCCUAAUUCUAUAUAUAUAUAUAUAUAUAUAUAUAGAGAGAGAGAGAGAGAGAGAGAGAGAGAGAGUCCGGCUACUAUCGAUAUACUAUCGAUAGUACCAAAUUCUUAGUACUAUUGAGUUUUCUGCUGUUACAUCUACCUUUUGAUUAUUUCCAUCCGGUAAAUUAUACUAUUCAACCAACCAAUCACUCAACCUAGGGGACCACUAUCGAUAUUAUAGUAGUAUAAUUCUAUAUAUAAAUAUAUAUAGAGAGAGAGAAAGAGAGUUCGAUUAUAAUGCUUUUAAAAGCAGCAAGUACUUAGUACUUGUAAAUUUUCUACCAUUAAAUCUAUUCUUUUACCAUUUUCACCUGUUAGAUCAUACUAUUCAACCAACCACCCACUCAUCCCUAAAGGACCACUAUUAUCCUAACCGCACUUCCCUUCAUCCAAGGGCAGAAGAUGUAAUGGUACAAAGAGUUUGGUGUUAUUAAUAGUAUAGUAACCUAAUUCUAUAUAUAUAUAAAAAAUCAUAUGGAACAAUGACCCGAAAAUGUUAUUGAGUCAAGGCUCGCUAGCUCUACCAAUGAGUCAACCACUUGUUAAACCAAUGACAUCAUCAUGAUGUUAUAAAUAUUUUAAUAAUUAUUUUUAAUUUUGUUAUAUAUAAGAUAAUACAUAUAUUAUUAUUUUAGCUUCAUAAAAUAUUGAUUUCUAGACCAAAUUAAAUGGGUAUAAGUUUUUUAAUUUCAAUUUUUAUAAAACCUAUAUAUGCUAAAAGAAAAUGAAAUUAGUUAAGUUGAAUUUAAGCGGUUGGAUUUUAAUAUGACUUAAUUAAAAAAUUCUGGCCGGUUUAAUUAAAACCAAAUCCAUUCACAUGUAUCGUCUGUUCGAACAGUUCAAAGCAAUUUUUUUGGCUUAUAGAUUGGAUCAUAAUCAAACCGUUCGAACCAAUCAGUUCAACCUAAUUUUAAAUUAUCGGUAAAAAUAGUAGUAGCUGCCGACAGGAGAAGUUAUUAGAAUAAUACACAUCUAUUACACCAAAACUCUAUCUUUCUCUAACCUGUCGAUAUCAAAGUAUGAGGAAGUCCACUGUACAGCGGUUAAUUUCAUACAGAUCCCUACAAAUAUAGUAAAUUAUAAAUAUAUCUUUAUAAAAUUUAACUUUCAUAUGUUGUUCCUACAAAAGUCUUAAUAUUUUUAAAUAUAUCUCUCUGGUUCGUUACUGUUAAAGUACUAUCUAUUUUAUAAGUGAAAUGACCUUUUUGCUUUGCCAUUACAAAUAUAUCUCUCUAAAAGUUCCAACUGUUAAUUGAAAAGCGAUAAAAAAGAUCAAUUCACCUCAUUAACUAACUAAAGUUAAGUAUUUAAUCUAUAAUUAACUAAAAUUUUCUAACGUAUUCUAACAGCAAUGAAUAUAUUUUAAAAUAUCAAUAUUUUUACAAGAACAGUAUAUAAAACUUGAACUUUAUAAAAACAUAUUUAUAAUUUACGAUAUUUAUAGAGCGAUCUGUAUAUAAUUAUACCUACAAUUUAACUAGUCAGAGACACCGCAUUAUCACCCCUGUAUUUUGUAGGCUUUCUCUUUUUUUUUAGUGAGGUAUCGACAUCGCAAUGAGUGAUGCAGUGACGUAAUCACAACUUUUGCCACGUACCCAACACGGCGUUUUCUUUUUCUUUACUUUAUUUUUUUGUCGCUGCAGGAGGAUCUUGACGAGGUUCGUGAGGACUCGGAGGCCGCCAUUUGCGUUCGCUUCUAUUCAUUUAAAACUUAUUUAUUUAUUUAUUUAUUUAUUUUACUAUUCAGUCACCAUUAUUUUAAUUGGACUUUUGAGUCUUGCGUUUUUAUCUUUUCCUCUGCUUUAUUAAUUUGUCACCUCACUUAGCUUUUGCCGCUUUGUUUCGUUCUUUUAUUAGGCGAUCGGUCCGAUGGAGAUACGUCGUACGGUAGUGAUGCCAAAACGGAUAGAUUUUUUUAUCACACAGGUUGGAACUAAAACCGAAAAGAUUUAGUUCGUCGAUGCGAAAAUACCAAAAAAGAUUCGAAAAAGAGAAAAGAAAAAUAAAACACACAAUAUUUACGUGGUUCGGCCAACGGUCUAUGUCCACGAGCGAAGACGGAGCGGAAAUCUUCAUUAGAAUCAAAAUAGUGUACAAAAUACGCCUCUCUCAUAAAACCCUAAUUCCAAAAAAUACACCCAUAUUUUCUCUCUCAUCUUCCGCAAUAAAUCAACAGCAGAAAGAGUAUAUUUAUAAUAGUGACUAAAUCCUAAUACGAUUAGAAAUACAAAUCCACUAAAAUUAGAAAUAUCUCGAUAAAUUAGGCACAAUCUAAACUUAACUUAAUGGGAUAAUUGAAACAGAAUAGGGUUAGAAGACCUUGCGGUACUAGAAUUUGAGACAUAUUUAACAGCACAAAAAUUCGGUGGAGACUGUUCCUAAUAAUAGAGCAUGUCAACGAGCCGAACAGCAGAGAGCUGAAAAUAUAUCGUAUUCGACUCAUUUGUUAUAAUAAAUGAACUGAGCACGAUCUAAUUCAUUAAAAUAUAUCGUUAGUAAAUUCUAUUCUUAGUACAAUAGAAUUAGAUUAAAAAGACAUAUUUUUAAGAUAUUUUUGUGUAAGUAUUUUAUUUAUGUCAAAAAAUUUUAAAAAAAAUUUAUUAACGCCUAAAUAUAAAAUCCAAUCCAAUCAAAAAUAAAAAGUUACACUACUCAACCAACUCCACACAGCCCAUUCGGUCCAAUUACAAAUAAAAAAGAAAAAAAAAAUUGAUCAUCAUUUCCCGCUCUCCUCCUCAGCCGCAGCCGACGAGAUAGGACUCCGGCGGCUGGAGUUCAGCCGCAAGCAUCUCAUAUGCACCGUGAAAAAUUACGAUCGUCAAGUAUCCCUCCGCCACAUAUCGCUGGAAGAGUGGGUGCCAAUAUUAAAGCGGCCCUAUAUAUAGUGACCCUACAUAUAGCAACACUUAUAAAAAGUAUCGGUAAUUUAGCCAGCAGUAUUUUUUUUUAUCUGUACCGAUAUUUAAAAAUAUCGCUAUACACCAUUUUUAUUGUAGUGUCUGAUCGCCGACAUAUCAUAUUUAAUGGGUUUAAUAAACGAGUUAAAAUAUUCAAUUGAAAAAAUUCAGCUCUGAUUGCCCUACUACCGGGUUGAAAAGUUAGAAAAAAUAAUUUAAAAAAUUAGAUUCUUAAUCUAAUAAAUAAAAUUCACAAAAUAGAGGCGAUUUAUAUUUGGAUUAGCUUAAAAUUUAAAUAGUAAAUAAUUGUAAUAUAAAUGCACAUAUAAGUAAUCGUCUUUAUUGACUUUUGAUCUAACCACAAAAAGAGAAUUCACUGACUAAAAUUUAGAAGGACCUAUACCUUGGUGCCACAAAAGCAUUCGAGGUUAGCCAUAUAUGUAUAGGAUCCGGCUAGGAUGUUUCUAAUAGCACCAAACAUCUAGUGCUACUAAAUUUUUUACUGUUUAAUUUAUCUUUUUAAUUAUUUUUAUUCGUUAAAUUAUACUAUUGAACUAGCCACUGACUCAACUCUAGAGAACCGUUAUUAUUCUAAUCGUACAUCCCUUCAUCCAAGAGCCGAAUAUCUAAUAGCACCUAUGACUUGGUGCUAUUAGAAGCAUUCCAGUCUAAUUCUAUAUAUGUGUGUGUUUGCGCUCAUUCCAGUAUAUCGAGCCGAACACAAGUGAGCUAAUUAUAACUCGUGUUUAACUCGUUAAGAUUUCGAACUAAAAAUUUAGCUCGUAUUCAACGCAUUUAUUAAACAAUCGAUCAAUCUUGAGCUCAUUCCGAAUCGAGCAAGAGUUAGCUCAUGAAGACAAGCUCGAUUGACAACCCGGUUCCUAAAAUAGGACAGUUUCCUCUACCAUUCAUCACAUAAAUCGUCUCAAAUCUUAAUUAAAUAGUAAUAUUUUUGUUAGAGCCAAUAAUAAAAUGCCAAAUGGCAUAUUGGUGCACAGUUCAGCCAGAACCUUCAAAGAUCAAGAUUAAAUGGGUUUCGUGGUGCACCAGGAGUAAUGGCAGAUUAAUAGCAUAACCACAGGGUAUAACUGCAAGCGGUUAUGUGCAGUUUUGAUCGGCUUGUAAUGGCCCGCAAAAAUAGAAAAUUGACCGAUCAUGAAGCAAUAACUAAACAAUAAGGGUGGACUAUAAAUAGGCAAAUAAUGCCAAAAAAGGAGGUUUUUUUUUUUUAGAAUAGAAGACCAUUUUUAUUUCUCUACAUUUUCUUUACAUUUUCUAGGAAUAGUCUACUUGUAAUCUUUUCCUUUUUCGCAUCUACUGUUUUUCGUAGGAAUAGUUCUAAGUCAGAUUUUCGGAGUCUGUAUACCCUAAAGGCACACUCGCGUUUGUACAAAUUCAUAGAUUUAAUUUCAAUAUAUAAAGACAUUCGGCUCUUUCAACCGAUCAAUUACUAUGCAUUUCAUCCAUUCGGCUCAUUCAGCCGAACUUGUUCUACAGUAAGGAUUUUCGAACUCAGCUGAUCCGAUCGCAAAUCAGCAGAAUCGCCUGAUCCGUCGGAGGGCGCAAGCUUCGACCUCGAGGGUCAUCAUGUGAAGCCGGAUUUAAUUGUCGCACGUUUUCCUAGGAAGGCUUUUGACCAGGUCAACGACUGAGAAAUUCAGCUCAUAGCAAUUUUAAAAACUCAUAUCAAAUAGCGACUCGUAAAUAUUACUGGGUUAAGAGUCAAGGGCCGGUGACAUCGGCGUAACAUCAUAAAUAUUUAAUUUUAUUUUUAAUUUUAUUAUAUAGAAAAAUAUUCAUAGAUUAUUAUUCUAAUAUUGUACUUAAUUAAACAAAUACUAAUUUUUAUAACAAAUUUUGUAGCAUAAAUUUUUAAGUUUUAUUUUUUGUAAGACUAAUCUAUGCUAAUAGAAAGUAAGAUUAGCGAAGCAUAUUUUAAGCCGCUGAUUUUUAAUAUGACUUGAUACAAAAUCGAAUCUGGCCAUUUAAUUUUUUUAAAUGUUAAAUUAAACUAUUAAUAAAUAUUAGCUAUUAAAAUAGAUAUCUAAAAAAAUAUAUUUAUAUUUUAAUAUAUAAAAUAUGUUUUUACAUAGGUUUAGUUUUGGGUUCCGAUUUGGAUUCAGUACAACUAAAGAUAAAAAUUAUAACGCUUUAUUUUUUCCCAUAUUUGAAAUCAGAUUCGGAUUCAGUUAUAAUUUCGAACAUCCAUAUCCGUUAACAUCCGUAACUGUACAUAUUAUUGAAAUACUUUAUUUUCUUUUAAUAUUUUGACCUAGAAAUAGUUAAUAGUCACAAAGUUGAUUAAUUAGAAAACAUUAUCAUGAGGAAUUUUUUAUUUAUGUGGAACUUUUUUUUAUUGUACUAGUAAUGCUUAUGAAUACAACACGUAUAGAUCAUAAGUACAUCAAUAUGUAACGCAUUAGUAUAACUGCACAUCAUUAUUUUUUUUUAAGUCAUAUGGUGUAUAAAAAGCGUAUUAAUAGUGUGUAAAAUGUAAUAUGGUGUGUUAAAAAUGUAAAAUUUUCUGAUUUUAGCCAAAUAAAUUCGAGAGAUUUUGCCAAGUUAAUUUAAUAAUUUGGCCAAGUUUAAUAUUUUAAACUCAUAAAACUAUAAAAUAUUACAAAAAUUUUAACUUAGUUAACUAGAAAUGUAGAAGUCAAAAGAGGUGUAAAUACAGCCAGAAAAAAAAAAAAGAAAAAAAGAAAAAAAAAGAAAGAAAAGUUGAAGUGUCUAUCUCAGAAUCACCUAUAGCUUAGGGGGUCUCCAUAUAAUUUUACUUAACAAAUCUCAUUUUAUUAUUCGUUUGGUUCGGGUUAUAAGAACUAGUUAUUUUUGGGAUAGAUAUAAGUUCAGGUGUAAGCCGAAAAUAGAUCAAUUUUACAUUUGAAUGAAAAUUGAGUUAUUUCUGGGAAUAAAAAAAAAUAGCGUUUGAAUAAAUAAGAUAGAAUAAGAAGAAUAAUGAGCAGUUAUAAAUAGAAAAUAAACUCCUGUUGGCCACCUCGAUCCUUGGGGUCACUUUUUUCACCCCCAAUCCACUAGGAGUGCUGGGUGGCAGCCGGGGUGGGCUAUCUUUUGGGCUGUUUAGUGGGCCCCCACCGAGUAUCCGAGCCGGGCCCGCUUCGUUAUUUUUUUGUCAGGCCUUGAGAGCAAUCUUGAGUGCACCAUUGGCCCUUGAGUAGGGUUUCCUUUUCUCUUGUGACAGUUGGGCCUUUUCGGUCACACCUGCAGGGAAGGAUUCAACGGACGGGUGCCGCAUUACAGCAGAUUCUUAUUUUCUUCAGCAACUGCCACUCGGAGUUGUGGGAGCAGCCGCGACCAACUGCACUUUGCUCCCCUCUACUGAUCUGAUUGCUGGGGACUCGGUCUUUUCAGAUGCCUUCGGAUUUCAAUCGCCUUCCACCCCUGAUCUUCUGGUUAGCCCAAACUUUGAUCCGGUUCUGAGUGGGAUCCCAGCGUGUGUGUCUGAGCCGCAGAUACCGGGGGCAAUAGAGCCAGUGCCGUCAGGUAGUUCAAGAGCCUCUUCCCCAGCGAUGGUGCCAAGAACCUGUAAGCGACUCGCUGCAUACCGCAAGCGAUCAAUCCUACACAAGGCAAUGGAAAGGAAGAGCAUUCAGCGUGAGGGGGUUCAGGAGGUUGGGCGCAGAACUCCUGUGGAGAAGAUCACCUACAAGAGUCACCUCUGCGGGGUGGAUUUAGGAGAGAACGAGGCUAAGACCUUCUCCGCUUUUCUGAACGAAUGCAAAUAGGCAGGACGAGUAGGGUUUCUGUAGACUCUUUUUUUGGGUUUUGGUGGUGAGAGUCUAUCUGUUUUUUAUAUGUUUCGCGUCUGUAGCUGGAAUGUUAGGGGGCUCAACGACCCCUCUAAACGGUGUGCCGUUAGGGCCGUAGUGUCUAAACUUCAUAAUGCAGUAGUUUGUAUCCAGGAGUCGAAAGUUGAUCAUGUUUCGAGUUCCUUCCUUAGUAGUUUCGGGGGACCUUUGUUAAACAAAUGUGUUUUUCUUGAAGCCAACGGUGCCUCUGGGGGGAUUAUUACGAGUUGGAGUUCCCGUUUUUUCACUUGCUUGGAGGUCAUCGUAAGGACAUACUCCAUUACUACUCUGCUUUCCUCCACCACGGGCGGGUCUAAGUUUUUUCUCACGAACGUCUACGGACCCGCCUCUUGGGACGGCAAGGAAGAUUUCUUCGCCGAAUUGGUUCAGCUGAAAGAUCAUUGCGUGGGCAAGUGGAUCAUCUGCGGCGAUUUUAACUGUACGAGAGGUCAAGAGGAGCGAAGGGGAAAACUUUGGAGCACCAAAGCCACAAACUUAUUCAACGAGCUGAUCAGAGAGCUUGCCUUGAUUGACCCACCGAUGUCCAACCAAUCCUUCACUUGGUCCAACAUGCAAGCACUUCCAACGUGUACGCGGCUCGAUCGUUUCCUUGUCUCAACUGAAUGGGAUCAUGAGUUCCCCCUCUCCAGAGUUGAAGCACUUCCUCGAAUUACUUCAGACCAUUGCCCUAUCUUGCUAACUGUGGAAAAUUCUGCUAGGGUGAAUCACACGAUCUUCCGGUUCGAGGAGGCUUGGUUGAACCAUGAGGGUUUUACCUCUAAACUUCCGGAUUGGUGGAGGGAGGUUCCACUGAACACGCGGAAUACCCAGAAUAAAUCGGCAGUUUUAACCUUCACAGCGAAGCUGAGACACUGUCGCAUUAGGAUCAAGGAGUGGUGUGCUAAUGAAUUCUACAGUAUUAGAGGAGUUAAAAACCACCUAAUGGAAGAAAUACAGAAGAUUGAUAAAGCUGAGGAACUGGGUGAUUUUUCGAACAACUUAUGCUCUAUGAGAGCGGAACUUAAGGCUAAUCUAGGAAAAGUCUUGGACGACGAAGCUACACUUUGGAGAUCCCGGGCCAAACAGCACUGGCUGCGAGAGGGGGACAGUAAUACUAAGUUCUUCCACGCUGUAGCUAACGGCAGACGCAGAGCUAACUGGAUUGGCACGAUCGUCGAUAACGGUUCCACUUACCAAGCUGAAGAGGAUAAACGAAAUUAUUUUUACCAAUCCUUCAAGUCACUGUUCACUCCUAAGGUAUCGGCCCCACCUUCCUUUGGAAACUGGGACAGGUUAUUCCAAUCCGAUAGCAUUGCGACUCCUGAUUUAGCAAGGUUAUCCGAUCCCUUCAAUUUAGAGGAAAUCAAGAAAGCCGUUUUUCAACUGGGAAGCGACAAGGCGCCGGGACCGGAUGGUUUCCCUUUGAAGUUCUACCAAACGUUUUGGGACACUGUUAAGGAUGAUAUUUUGAGUAUCUUUCAGGAAAUGUACGAGGGAAGGCUCUCCACGGAUGCCAUCGACUACUCUUUCAUUUGCCUUAUUCCUAAGAACGAGGGGGCAGUGCGAGCAAAUGACUUUAGACCCAUAAGCUUGUUAAACGGGAUCCAAAAAAUUUUAUCUAAGGUUUUGACCAAUAGGCUAGACCAGGUUAUGAAGGAUCUGAUAUCCCCGUCUCAGUCUGCUUUCCUGAAAGGCAGGAACAUUACCGACGCUUUUGCAUCAGUUUCCGAACUUAUUGGAUGGGGUAGCAAAUUGUCCGUCGAAGGUGUCGGGAUAAAGGUUGAUUUUGAAAAGGCCUACGACAGGAUUUAUUGGCCAUUUCUUUUCCAAAUUCUACGGUGGUGGGGUUUCAAUGACAAGUGGUGUGAAUGGAUCGAAUCUUGCGUGUGCCACGCGAAAGUGGCAGUACUUGUUAACGGAGAGCCGACCAAAUGGAUAAAGACGAAGAGAGGCGUAAGACAAGGGGAUCCGAUUUCACCUUAUCUAUUCUUACUGGUGGCUGAGUGCCUGGCUCGUUUGACCAAUGAGGCGGCCUCUAACAGUCUCAUUAAAGGCCUCGGCCCGUCCGAGGGAUGUAGGGUCACUCUCACUCAAUUUGCGGACGAUACCUUUUUCUUCUGCGAAGCAAAAAGCAGGUACUUGAAAAAUCUCAGGUUUAUUUGGCGCCUCUUCGAGUGGGCCUCGGGAAUGAAAAUCAACAGGAAGAAGACGGAGCUUUACUAUCUGGGACAGGAGGUCGGUAAAGGAGCCAGAUUAGCAAACAUUUUGGAAUGCAGAGUGGGCACCCUCCCAACCAAUUAUUUGGGUCUACCGCUCUCUCCCAGAUCACCAUCCAAGGAGGCAUGGAUGGGGAUCAUACAAAAGAUACACCGCAGAAUAGAGGGCUGGCAGGCUAAACUACUAUCUAGGGGGGGUAGACUUAUCUUAGUUAACGCGGUACUAACCAACAUACCCCUAUACUCUCUUUCCGUGUUCAAGGCCCCCGCGUGGGUGAUUAAGCACAUCGAAGCCCUUAGAAGGGACUUCUUCUGGAAUGGUGGGCGCAGCACCCCGGGCAAAGGAUGCCUAGUGGCUUGGAAAAACGUUUGUAAGUCCAAAAAGGAAGGCGGGUUAGGUAUCUUGGAUGUUGCGACCAUGAAUCAAGCGUUAUUGACUAAAUGGUGGUGGAAAUUCCACAUUGCACCUGAACUACAGUGGAACAAGUUAAUCCGGGUUCUGUACUAUCGUAGAAGAAAACCACUGAGGGAAGGCAGAUACUUUAGACCUUUCUCUUGUUGGUGGAAAGGUAUCCUUACUUGCAGCACCAUCUUUAAAUGGGGUGCAACCUUUGAACUAGGAAACGGUAAAGCCAUCGACUUCUGGCAGGACAGGUGGUGUGGGGAGAAAACUUUGAACCUUCUGUUCCCAGAAGCUCAUCUCACAACUGAGGGGAAAAACUACAGAGUUAGCGACUAUUUCACGAGGGGUAGUUGGAAUUGGACCAAGAUACUGGGUGCCGAAGUGGGCCGUUUGCAAGGGCUGAUACCGAACCUCUCGGAGCUAGUGGAAAGGGUCUCCAACUUCUCUGUCGGACAUAGACCUGAUAAGAUCCUUUGGCGGUGGAGUUCAGACGGACAGUUUUCGGUCAAAUCGACUUAUUUGGCUUUGACGGACGGCGGGGUGAGAGACGCACGCGCCGCCACCAUCUGGAGUCUCAAAAUCCCCCUUAAAGUAAAAGUCUUUAUCUGGUUGGUCCUUAAGAAAAGAAUCCUGACACGCGAUAGACUUGCUAAGAGAUGGUGGAUCGAUGACCCCACCUGCGUGCUUUGCGGGUCGGACGAGGAAUCAGUGGACCAUCUGUUUACCCACUGUGUAUUCUGCAAAUUCAUCUUGGUGUUAGGGGACGACGAGAUCCAGGCCCAAGACCUGGGGGAUGAGGUGAAUCUUGUUUGGGAUAGGUGGACUGGCAAGAAAGACCCUCUUAAUAAGCGUACCAGACUUGCUGAACUAGCGGGAUGCUGGUGGGUGAUCUGGAAGGUCAGAAACGAUGUAAUAUUUCGGAAUAUUCCCCCUAACCCGGGGAUAGCGGUCCAUAGAUUCAAACUGCUUGUGAAGGAGUGGGAGCUUCUCCUCCGGUCAUAAUUUGUUUUUUUUUUUUUUUUUUUUCUCUCUCUGGGGCCGGGUUGCCUCACAUUUGUAGCUUAGUUCAUAUGAUCAAUGAAUGAAGCGGGUAGCAUGCUACCUCUUUCUCAAAAAAAAAAACAAACACAUCGACUACAUAGAUUAACAUUGUUUAAUUAGUUAUCAUGCCUUAAAGCAGACGCAAAUAAAAGAUCAACUAUACGGAGUUUUUACUACUAGUCUCGUAUGUAUUACUUCACUGGGGAUCAAUAAUCCAGUCCAAUGGAUCAUUUGUUUAUAGUCAGUUUUGCUAAAAAAAGACUUAGGUUUGUUAUCACAUAUAUAUAUAACUAGCAACUAACCCGUGCAAUGCACGGAUUUUAAAUUUAUCUUUUAAUUACAAUUUUUAUAUAAUAUAUAUUAAUUUUUACAUAUUAANUUAAAAUUUAAAUAUAUAUCUUUAAAAAUUAAAAAAAUUAAAAUAAAAUUUUAAAUUUUAAAUCUCAAAUUCAAAAAUUUAAAGUUCUAAAUUUUAAAUUUAAGAUUAAAUUUAAAUUUAAAAAUAUCAAAUAUCAAAUUUUAAAUUUCAAAAAUUAAAAAUAAUAAUUUAUAAUUUAUAAAUAUAUUAAUUAAGAUUAUAAAUUCUUUAAUUUAAAAAAUUAAAAUUUAAAAUUUAAAAUUUUAAUUAUAAAUUUAAAUUUAAAAAUUAAAUUGGGGUGGGAUUAGUUAACCCCACCUGGCCAAUUCCAGGGGGAGGUGGGGUUUGUUAACCACACCCCUAACGGGUUAUUCCGGAAUAACCCGUUAGGGAUGGGGUUAACAAAUUCCACUCAUUGAAAAAGGUGUUUGGGGAUUAAGAGGGGAAUAACUCCUUAAACCCCCUCCUGACCCUCAACCAAACACCACCUGAGUCCAAUUUUUACCACUCACAUGUAGGAAUGUUACUUUUUCACUGCAUGAGUGAUAAUUGUAAAGUGAUUGAGACACCAAAAAAAUAAUAAUAAUAAUAAUAAUAAUAAUGUUGGAGUUGUUUGUUUCAAACAAAAUGAUAAGAUCUGUUAUUAUCAGCCUCUUUUUGCAAAGUAAAAGAAGAGAUUGAUGAAAACCUUUUGAUGCAGACCCUUUUCACCUGCUUCUAAAAACUCCUGAUGAUGCACAGAUUGUUACGUGUAUUAUAUAUCGACAUGUAAGUACAUUAAUAAAAACUUCAAAUACCAUCUCUGUGAUUUUGCAUUUUCUCACUUUAGUAUCCUGUGGUUUAAAGUGUAUCGAUUUAGUACUCCGUGGUUUUAUUUUUUCUUUUUUAUUAUCUCCUUCACUAAUUUUUUUUUUAUUAAAUCAGUGACAAAGUUAAAACUAAAAGAGACUAAAGUAAAUAUUCGAUAAAUUUAGAUUGGGUAUGAAAAGUUUUUUUUGUAUAUAAUUUAACGAAAUAUUAACAGAGGAGUUGAUGAAAAGAAAAAAAUGAAAUCACAGGAUACUAAAUUGAUACACUUUAAAUCAUAUGGUACUAAAAUGAGAAAGUGCGAAACCACAGGUAUGGUAUUUGAAGUUUAUCCUAAAUUUUUAGUAGUAAAAAAAAAGAUAAGACAAGUGACAAAAUAUGAGCCACGGAAGGAUUAAGAUAUAAAAUUUAUAGGGAUGAAAAUGGUGUCGAUUUUUUGACGAAACCAUGUCCGCAUCUGUAUCUUUCUUCGGGUGCAAAAAUGUGUCGUAUGCCAAAUCUUCGAUACUAUAUCCGCUUAAAACGGAUUUGAAUUCAGAAUGAAUCGAAUUCGUAUUCAAAUACAAAUAUUAUUCCGAUAAUAAUAUAUACUAAUAAGCAUUUAUAAAUAUGAACUAAAAUUGGCAUAAAUAAAACACAUAAUUGCAUUAAAACUUUAUAUUUGUAUUCAAACUUCAUAUGCCUAUAUCUUAUUCAAUAAAUUAAAUAUUUUAAAAAAAUGUAAAUGUAUUUUUUAAUAUGAAGUUCAUUGUAAGGUAAAGGAAAAAUAAGAUAAAAAAUUACCUUAUUUUCCUACAAUAUAUAUUAACAUCUUUCUUAUCUUUUAAGAAUGAAAACGGUCAAAUAUGAUCAAAUUUUUUAGAAAAUCAUAUUUGAAUCAACUUUUAAAAUUUUUUUAAAUAUAAAUUUGAAUACGAAUAUGUAUCAGAUAUUAAGCUUUGAUAUUUAUAUACGCAUUCUAUCGAAUCUGAUGUGAAAUUUCAACCUGCUUCAUAGGUGAAUGGGGACAGGUUUUGUACUGCAGUGCAAUUUUGGGGUGCAAUUAAUUAUUCCGUACAUCGAGACAGAAUUGGUAAUUGGACAUGGCAAUUAUUCAUGACCUAGACUAUUAAAAGAAAAAUUACAGUUUAAAUAAAAAUUAUAUAUUUUUUGUCACAGCUAUAAAAUUGUAGUUCUCACCGUUCUGAUUUUUUGUAUAGUAAUAAGUGAGUGAUGUAAAAUCUAAAAGUCACCAUCAUUAAUAUUUUAUUAUUUUUGUCGCUUUGUUUUUGUAAUUGAUUACGAGAUGCUGAAAGGUUUGAGUUUUGACCAAAAGUAAAAUUACAAUAAAAUAAACAACAAAACUUAAUAUUUUACGUCUCUACUUCCGAUGAAAUAAAUACUCCUCAAGCUUAUUUGUUUCAACGAAGGUGAAAUUUAGCUGGAAAUAGACUUUCGAGUAAACUAGAUUUCAAGUAAAAAUUAGCUUUCUUCCACUAUUUGUAUGUAUAUUUGUGAAUCUAAAAUUUUUCCGAUUGUUCUACUAUGUAUUUAAAACAGAAAUAAAGCGUUAAAUGCAUUCAUGUCUCUGCAAAUAUAGUGAAUUGUAAAUAUGUCCCUACAAAAUUUAAUUUUUAUAUAUUUUUUCUGCAAAAAUUUAAUGUUUUUAAAUAUGUUCCUCUAGUUAUAGAACUGUUUAUAUUUUAAGUGAAAUGUCAAUUUUAUCAUCACAAAUAUAUCUCUCCAAAAACCACAACAGUGUAAUAAAUAAGAGGGGCAAAAAUGUAAAGUUAUCUCAUAAAUUAACCAGAGUUAAGAAUUUAACCUACGGUUAAUUAAAAUUUUCUAACCAAUUCUAACGGCAUGGACAUAUUUAAAAACAUUAGGAUUAGGAUUUUUAUAGGGACAACAUAUGAAAGUUGAAUUUUGUAUGGAUAUAAUUGUAAUUCACUAUAUUAGCAGAAACCUAUAUGAAAUUAACUCUAAAAUAAAUAACGAAAAAAAUGAAUAUACAAGAAAUAGGCUAAUAUUUUAUUAUUCUUUUCUUAUCUUUUCUUUCCGUAAUUGACUAUAGUAUUUUCAAAAGUUAUCAAAAUUAAAUUACGAUAAAUCAAACACGAACAUUCACAUUCACGGUCGAAAAUAACUUCACCCCUUUCUCGAUGACCGCGAUCCAAUUUUUCUCUCUUAAAAGUUUAAAUUCAAAUCUACAAUUGAAUUUAAUGUGCUCCAGAAGCACCAUCUAGAGGACAUGUAAAGGUGACUAACUUUCUAUACAAAGAAAAGAGUAAAACACCACGCCUUGAAUUUAUUAUAUUAUCUAUUAUUAUAUACUAAAGUGCGUGGAAUGGUUUUCUUUUAUUGAGAUGUAGCUCUACUAUUCAGUACAUCCGGUGCAUUGUAGACCAUGGAUUGUAGACAUAUAAAUGGUUUAUAUAUAUAUAUAUAUAUAUAUAUAGUNNNNNNNNNNNNNNNNNNNNNAGCUGGGCCCUCAAGUCACGGACCUCACUAGAUCCGGAAGUAGCGGAGGUCUCAACCUCCUCGGGGUGUGCCGCAUCAUCCGCCCCGGCAGACUGGGAGCGUGUAAUCGGCAUCGUCACUACAAAGCAUAAAAGCGCAAGUUAGUAACCCACGCUAUCGCAUCCCCGCUCAAAUAGAUAAAACCCCAAAUCAUGCGAAAGUAAGGAAGUGUCCUUCACUACUAACUUCCGAUGUUACGUUGUCGACCGCCAACGUAACCCUCCGCGAUGUUAGAAGCCAUACACUCCGAUCAAACUCUAACUUUCUAGAGUUGUCAUAAUACCCAAUCAUGAUACUUUCGCUCACAAGUCGAAUAGACCUCGUCUCUCACGAGCAUAUUUCCUAUAGUCCAACCGGCCUAAGGUUUGCUAGAUCCCCUAAGACUCAACCCUAGGCUCUGAUACCAAAUUAAUCUGUCACGCCCCGGGACCGGCGGAGGCCCUCCCGGUAGCGUGCCCGGACCCGCCAUAUGUCUACACAUAUAAGGCGUCUAGAAUAAAAGCGAAAGUAAAAGCAAGUAGUAGACAACUAGAAGAAGUGAAAUAACAAGCAACUAAUGAUAUCAGAGCGAAUAUAGUUCUAACAUCUACACCAAGGUAAAGAAGUAAAGCUGGUCAAUAAAAAGAGUCAUAAGAAGUACAAUAACUGUCACUAGUACAAAAAUGGUGGUCUCUAGUACACUGGUAAAACACUCAACCUCUUGCAAAAAUAGAACAAAAAUCGAGAGGUAGACCACCUAGCAACUCGUCCUCGAAGGAAGCUAGCUCGAAGCAACUCCCUUCCCGCGAUCCCUGGCCUCACCCUGAGUGGAAGGCUCUGUAAAACAUCGAGAAAAAGAGGGCGUGAGAACUAUAAUUUAUAGUUCCCAGUGGGCAAUUACUGACCUCAGCUCAAUGCACCACUAGGCCCCAAAGGAAAAGGGUAAGUACUAAAGCAAUAAUAAGAGUAAUAGCAACAACAAUACGAAAGCAUAAAUGAAGUGCUAAACCGCUAUAUCUCAAGUAAAACAUGAUGUCAUGGUGGUGUACAUCUACGCUGUCAUAAGAUAAUAUAUCCAAUGCAUACUGUUAUGUCUCGACAUGAUAAACAAGUAAACCUCACAAUGCAGUAUGUCGAUGCAUAAAGAGUAAACUCUAACCAAGCAACCGAGUAUACUACGAUACAAUAAUGAAACCGGCAAGUAUGCUAUAUGCACCAAUGCUAUAUCAUGAGCAUGUCAAAGUAAUCCAACUACUAAACCUAUCUAGUAGUGAUUAUUCAUUCUCAACCCUGUGUCGAAUUCUAUUUCCAAUUAAGGACCCACCCAAGGUGGCCCAGCUUGUGCCGCCUAAGUGCCCGUGGUAGCCCGACAUUCCUACUCUUGGAAUGUGUCUGUCCCACUCAACCCCGUAGGCUUCUCAAUACCGCACGAACGAACAUAGUCGCGUAGGCUAACUCCGGAGUGCCGGCUUGUAGGGAGCGACUCUCACAAGCAUGUGCGAAUGAGCACAAAUGGCAAGCAAGCAUAGUCCAAAUCUCAAAUGUCCAAUCCUCAUGUCUCUAACAUGGUAUGGUCACUAGCAUCACGAAGAUCUAGUUUAAGUCAAAAUGUGGAGUUUCAACAUUUGCUACGCCUAGUGCCCCUUGAUGACACUUAGGCAAUUUGAUGUUCAACAUGUAUUUCAAAUCCCUCAAUGGCCCUAUCCACUAGGUUCUCACAUAUCCCGAGCUCAAUGCCGCUUGAUGACAUUAGCUCUUUAAAUCACAUACGAUUCAAGUUUGGGGACCCAAAAUGGCCAAUGUUGUUAUCUUUCCUGUCUCAAUUAAACUUAGGUUUAAAUGCAAGAAUCAAAACUCAUUUACACUAUAAGCAACAUGGCCAACAUAAGAAUGCUAGAAAACCCCGCAUAAGCUUCAUAUGUACUUUUUUACUACAUAGAGGUCCAAAAUUUUACUACAUGUGACAUGGGUAUUUUAAGCAUUCCAAAAAUCAUAAUAAACGCAUGUGACAUGAUUAUGCAUGAUUUUCCAAUUUACAAAAUAUAAUUCACCAUAUAUGAGAAUUUCUCAUAUUAUAGGCUAGGUCAAACCCACCAAAAUCGAAACUCUCGAUCCGCCGAACGAAGGUUUCGGCAAGCUCCCAAGUACCCUAAGAGCAACAAAAACGGGGUUACCCAAACGAAACGAAGAGCGAAAAGCUCAAACAUUAAGCAUCUAGCAAAAUGGGCAAAACUCACCUCAAGAGAAGAAAUCUCUUCCUAUGCUCCAAAAGAGAGCUAGAACCCUUCCAUUCUAACCUAGGGGAAGGUUCUAAUCCAACCAAUUGAGCUUCAAAAGCCCUAAAACGAAAAUGCCCAAAAUAAACCCUAAAACACCAAAUCUAGGGUUUCAUCUCAAUGAAACCUUCAAAAACCAAAUCUAGAGGGAAGGAUCUUGUCUCUUACCUCUUAGAAGCUUCAAACCAAGCUCAAAGUUCCCAAACUUCAAGAAUAUUCCCUCAAUCAAGCUCCAAACCUAAGCUCCAAGCUUCAACAAUGGUGGAAAUAGCUCCAAAAUGCAAAAGAGAGGGAAAAAAUCCAUCAAAACCCAAGCAAAAAGGUGAUCAAAACCAAAGGGAGGAGAAGAGGUUCUCCUUACCUUGCUUCUCCACGGAUUCCAGCUCAGGGAGAGCUCCAUGGGGCGUGGGGACACAUAUAAGAGUCCACAAAUGCGAAAAACCCCCUGCAGUUUCGAACAGUUCAAAAAUCUGCACUGCGUACCGGUACACGGGCCCGCGUACCGGUACACAUCCCACGAAAAUGCCAAACCCGAGCCUCGGGUUGGCUGAAAGGCUGCCCGUGUACCGGUACACACUCCCGUACCGGUACAACCAUCAAGCCUGUACCGGUACAGCCAUCAAGCCUGUACCGGUACAGCCAUCAAGCCUGUACCGGUACACAGCCCAAUAAAGGCUACCCGAGAGCUAACAAAAAAUCCAACUUUUUGGAUGUUGGUACACCGCUUCAAACCACAAUUCUCGGGACUCGAACCAUGGGUCGGAACACUGUCUACGACCCUUCAGAAAGUCUGAGAUGGCUCGCCACACAGAUCAAACACUCGAACCUCGCAAUUUGCAAAGGUCCAGUGCGUCACAAUAGUAGCCCUACUCAUAUAUAUACCAUAUACUAUAUCUAUAGAGAGAGAGAGAGAGAGAGAGAGAGAGAGAGUUCGGCUAUUGUACUCUUAUGAGUACGAUCGCCUUCGUACUCAUAAGUUGUUUUCGAUGAUACAGCUUCCGAAUCGACGAUCCAUACCGUUAAACAUUAUCUAGAGCAUUUAAAACUUUUAGAAAUCAAAUUUUAUAAUUUUUCGAUAUCAUUUACCUUAUGAUCAAAAGCUCACAAAAUUGACAAUUUUUAACGACUGAUAUGAGAUAUUUACUAGUUUAACGGUGAAAAAAAUUGGAAUAAGUUGAAUUUUUGAUAGAAAAUUUUAUUCACUACAUAAAUAAAAAUCAAUAACUCUAAUCUUAAAUUGAAGGAUCCGAUCAUCUAUUUUUAAGAUGUCAUUCGAUUUUAAUCGUUCUUUUUAUACCCUCUUGAUGGACUUUAUAAUGAUUUUAAAAAAUUACAAAAUUUAUUUUCUAGAAGUUUCAAAUAAUCUAGAUCAUUUUUAACGGUGUGGAUCAUCAAUUCGAAAUGUCCAACAUCGAAAAUAACUUAUGAGGACGAAGGGCUCAAUACUCAUAAGAGUAUAGUAGCCCUACUCUAUAUAUAGAGAGAGAGAGAGAGAGUUGAGUUAGAAUACUCUCAAAAGCACUAAGGGUGUGGUACCUUUGAGUUUUUUACCAUUUGAUAGAGAGAUGUAGGGUUGAAAUGAUGGUGAUAAUGAUAGUGGUAAAUGAUGUCGAAAAAUUAUGAAAUUCGAUUUCUACAUAGUUCCAAUAACGUAGAUUAAGCCUAACAGAACAGAUCGUCAGAUCGAAUAUCCUAUCAUCAAAAACAACUUACAAGUAUCGAAACAUUCAUACUUUCAAAAGCACAUAGACCUAACGGGCUCUCUCUCUCUCUCUCUCUCUCUCUCUCUCUCUCUCUCUCUACUUCCGUAGUUUGUUUAAUAGGAACAGAAUUGGAAGCUUUUUUUCAUUUCCUAUUUUUGUUUCAUGUAAAUCGCUAGAUAUUAACCCCAAACCUGUUGGAAGUGAAAAUUCUCUACACCGACUAAAUUACUAUUUCUUUUUGUUGUUUCUCACCUGGCGUAAAUAACUUCUGGAAUACUUGGGCCUGUUUGUUUGCAAGAAAGUGAAGUGGAAGUGAAAGGGAGGAAGUGAUUUUCGGUGAAAACUGAUCACUUCCGUUGUUUGAUUCGUCGUAAAAAAAUUACAGUCGAAACUCCAGCUAACCUAAAAUGGUGUAAUUGACUUCGGCCCAUCGUAGACCGAAAUCAAUUACGGUGAAAAGAGAUAAAGAAAAAAUAAUAAAAUAAUAUAAUAAGUAAAGAUAUUUAUAUUUAAAUAUAUUUAAUUAUGGUACUAAUUAUUUUUUUAUUCAUUUGACAUAUUUAAAAUAUAAUAAAAAUUGAUUAGUUAAAUUUUAAUAUUUUUUUAAUUAGUUUGUACAAUUAAAAUAUAAUAAAAAUUGAUUAAUUAAAUAUUAAUAUUUUUUUACUUUAUAAUUUUAUUGUUGUAUUAUUAUAAUUUAAAUAAAAAAAUAAAUUUAGUUGUUUUAAAUUAAAUUUUAAUUAUAUACAAAUAUAAUUAUAUUAUUUUUAUUUAUUAAAUUAUUUAUUAUUAUAGGACAAUUUCAUCACUAGCCCUCUCAAAUAUGUAAAUAUCAUAAAUGCUCCUACAAAGUUGAAAAAAUCAUAUAUACCCCUUUAAAUGCAAAAAAAAUUCACAAGCACCCUUCCUUCCAACUGCCGUUACCAUAACCAUGAUUAAAAUUUGGUUAAGGGUUGAGUUAUAAAAUGACUAAUUUAGCCCUAAAAAGGUUAAGUAUUAUUUUGCCAGCAAAUAAUUAAGGGGCAAUUUCAUAAGUACCCUUCUAAAUUUUGAAAAUAACAUCUGUAGCACAAAUUAUUAGUGGGUAAAAAAAAAAGAAACUCCUCACCAAUAUAUCAUUUUGAACUAGAUCCCUUUAAAUUUUAUUUUUAACAUUAAGGGCCCUUGAACUACCAAUUUUUCUUUAUUUGGACUUUACUUAGUUAAAAGUUUUUCAAUUGAGAUCCCUCACAUGAAUUUGAUAAAAUUUUUAAUUUUGUUGGGAAAAAACACUCAAUUACUAAAAUUUAAAAAAAACACUUAGGUUGAGAGGGUAUAUAUAUAGAGAGUUUUGUUAUAAUACUAUCGGUAGUACAGCUUGAUUUACUACGAUUUGUUUUCAAUGAUAGAAUUUCCAAAUUGACAAUCGGCACCGUUAAACAUGAUAUAAACCAUUUAAACUAUCUGAAAGUUAAAUCUCACGCUUUUCCGAGUUAGGAUUAUGUCGAAGUGGACUAUAGAUGAGAGGGUUUUCAUAAAAUUUUACUUUAUUGUUAACAAUAAAUUUUCAAUUAAAAAUUUUUUGUUUGAGCAGAUCAUAUAAGUAAUACUCUAAUAUCAAGAAUUUUGAUAUCAAAAUAUUUUUAGCGUGAGAUAUGUGAGUUAUUUAAAUAAUAUUUUAAAAAUAAAUCUUUAAAUAAUUAAUGUUGAAUAUGGACAAUUAUAUUACAACUAUAUAUAAUUUAAAAGUAAAAAAUCAUAAUGAGAUUUAACUAUCACACUUAAUAGACUAUAGAUUUUUAAUUAUAAAAUUUAAAAAAAAUGUUAAAUUAUUAUGUGAUUCAAAAGUUAGAAAUUGAUCAUAUAAUUAAUCUUUAAAUAUUACAUGAUUAGAUUCGUGCUAGGGAUAAAAUUGGUAUUUAUAAAAUAUUGGAUGACUUCUUGACGAAAAGUUAAUCUAAAGGAUAUCUAUGAAUAUUUUUGGUUUAAAAAGGAGUAUUGAUGAUAUUUUGUAGUCUAGAGGGGUAUUGAUGAAAUUAUCCCUUAUUUAUAAGGGUAUUUAUGAAAAGUAAAAAUAUAUCCGUUGAGGUGGUACAGGAGUAGAAAUGAAAUUUACAACUUGUUUUGUUAGAUUCUCACAACACAUUAUGCAUAGGGGUAUUUAUAAAUUUUUUUUGAAUUUAAAAAGCCAUUCAUGAUAUUUUUAAUUUUAGAGGAGCAUUGAUGAAAUUUCAGCGUCCUAUAAGAAUAUCCAUGAAAUUUUAUCUAUGAAAUUUUAUCUAUGAAAUUUUCUCUAUUAUUUAUAUAUAAAUUAUAGUUUUAUAUCAUAUACUUCCUACCAAACAAACAACGGAACUAAUAAAACUUUAGUUUCAUAAUUACAAAACAAAUAGCGAAAAAGUAGUAGUUUUCACCGAACUCCACAUAAACCCAAAGCCCAAUUUCGGUGAAACAAAAAUGCCCUAAGCUAAACACCGAAAAAUGACUAUUUACAGCCAAAGAUGACUUCAUCCCUCCCACCUAGGGCAAACCAAACAUAAUACUCUAGUGGCAGAUGUCAUUCAAAAUGAAAACCUGAUGAAAUUGAGAUAACUUAGGACUGAUUCUAAUUACAUGUUACUGACAUAUUGAUCUAAUAGAUACGAUCGAUGUGAUCGGAAAUGACGGAAAACCAAUCGUAACACAACCAAAAACAUCGACCGUCCCUAGCGCAAGUGGCAAAAAGGUUUGAUGGUUGGUAUCAGAGACCCAAAUUUGAAUCCUAGUUGAUUCACAUUUCUAGCUAAGUUUAUUUCUAAAUGAAAUAAACGAAGCGGAUAGCAUACUAUCUUUUUCUCAAAAAAAAAAAAAAAAAAAAAAAAAAAAAAAACAACAACAACAACAACAAUAACAACAACAACAACGCAACCAAAAACCUGGAACUGAUAGUCUAUGAACUACAAGAAGUUUGGAGGGAGUGUGACCUCUCUUUAUUCUUGAAGGUAAAUGAACCAUCAAAUUCAUGAGGUACACAAUUAUUACAACUGAUAGUACUACUUUUCGUCUUGUUCACAUUUAAAAAGCACUUUUUUCAUGCAAUGCUCAUAUUUUCCAAACUUAGAACGUAGUAUUUCAACUCUUUCACAUUUAUUAUCAAAGGAGCUCACACUGCAUCAAGUACUUGUCUAAAAUCAUACAAUAGCACAAGCCAUUACCAAACGAAAUGCUAUGUCAGAUAUGCAUCUAAAGCUUGGGAUGUGCAACCUAAGGUUUGCGGCAUUUUGUUACAUGAGUAAUGCUAUCUGUACACCCAAAAGUAGAUAAAAAUCUUCCGGCCCACCCAUCCAAAGGUUAAUUUUACCACACUAGUCUUCUCACAACUUUUUUUUUAGUACUAAAAAUCCAAAAGAGUUGUCAGUUGUUUCGAUCAUCAGAUGAAGAGGGUGUAAGAUAUAUGCCGGCCCACUUUUGGAUGUGCGGAGAGCAUUUCUCUUGCUAUAUAUGGUCUCAAUACUUGGCCAUGCAAAAGUUAAUUGCAAAUGCAAUGGCAAAGGAAGAAAAGCUAACUACAAAUAAAUGAGAAAAGCAACCAUGUGUACCAGAAACAACAAAGGUUGAAACAAAGGAGCCGCAAAUGUAUCCCUGUGAAAUUUCAAAAAUACCUCUGUAGUCCUCCAAAGCUGAUUAAUAGCAUAUUUCUCCUCAAAAUAGAUUCCAACUGCGAAAUAUAAAAAUUUAAAUAUGCAGGUCGAAGUUAAUUUGGGGGUGAAAUCAAAUAGAAAAGAGGCUUCAGGGUUUUCGGUUCUGAUAACACGAGAUGUAUUAGGAGCAACUCAAGGCUAUCUAAGACUUCCAAACUAAGCAGGCAAAUUUCUGGUAAACCACAUGUGCAAACUAGUACAUUCAAAAAGGCCGGAUUGAUCUCAACUAGUAGUGGUGAUCCAAUGGGUCAGCUGAAAGACGGAAUGAUCACUAUGCUCAGUUAAAGCAAUAUUGGAGAUGCCACCUCCGAGUAAUUUGGAGGUGUUAAGGUCUCAUCAAGGUCACUAGGACUAAUAUCAGAAGAUUCAUAUCAAAUAUUUCUAGUUGUCUUCACACUUUUUCCAGACUUACGAAGAAAGGGGUGGAGAUCGCAUGGGAUGAAUCCUGCCAGAAUGCACUCAAUAGCAUCCGACAAUAUCUGCUAAACCCACCUGUGCCGGCUGGCACCAAUUAAAGGAAGGCCACUUAUUUUGUACACUGCUGCUAUCACUUAAAGCCCUCUUGGCCCAACAGCAUGAAAGAAGGCGAGAUCACCCAAUGUGCAGGAAAUUUUUUGCAUACAGGGACUGCAGGAAACCUACACCCCUGUUUGAUGCAGUUAUUAAUCUGAAGAAUUUUGUCAAUCGGAUAUCUUAAGAGCAUGAUCAACCAGUUAAAUAACCAUGAUUCAGAUUCCAUUUUUAGUCAGAACUUGCAUCUUAACUUUUGCGUUAUUUUUCAGCUUACCUAAUUUUUGCACUAAUUCAUGUCCUAGUGUUGAGAAUAAUUAGGGUUAAUAUAAGCUGCAGUAAACAGGCUCUAUAUGCAAAGAAAACAAACUCUGAUAUAGCAUUUCAAAUCCUAGAAUAGUAUGCACUUCGAAGGCCCAGAGAGAAAUAUUAAUAUAAGCAUAUGGUGCACAUCAAACAUAACUACUCGAGGAAGUUUUAGAUAUUGUACAUACAAAGAACAAGGUAAUUCAAAAGCUGAUUUUCAUAAAAUAUUUAAAAAGAAAGCGGAACUAGAGCACGGCAACACAAAAUUUACUGACCCAAAAGAGUUUACACAGCUUUAGGGAUGGCAACAGCUUCUGGCGCUGGCAGGGUUACUGAUCUCAGCAGUUCCAACGAGCAAACAAGCCCCAGAAAAUGCGAAAGGAUGGUAUUGGCUGAAGCCUGAUAACAAUUAAAGCAAGUUAGAGAACUACUUUCCAACAGUUGUCAUAAUUAAAAGAUACUAAAGUUUCAGAGAUCUAGUCAUAGCAAAAGCUGAGACUACAGUUUCCAAGAACUAUUUUUAUGGAAGAAAUUAACCAUUUGAUAUCUAUGAAACAACCAAUUAUAAUAUAUUAGAAAAUAGCAUUUUCAUAUUUUAUAUUUAACACUCCCCCCUCACAAUUGGGCUCAAGACAUGGAGUAGAAUUUAAUGGGAGAAAAUUCGAUGAACUAGUAGCCUAGUUGAUUAAAACUUAGGAACUCCUGCUUUGAUACCAAUAUACCAUGUGAAAUAAUUAAUUACUCAAAAAGCAUAAGCUGCCAGGGAAGAAUGGUUCAACAUUUUCUAUUCAACAGAUACUUCUUCCAAAAGCUCUAAUUGUUGAGAUGAUAACUGCGCAAAGUCUUAUAUAUGAAUAGGAAGGAAAAAAAAACAUAUGAUUGAUUAAUCAAACGCGAUCUUUGUAUAGCAUGCAAAGAACAAUUAAGUAGGAUAUUCUAGAAAAAGGAAAAUAUCUCUGUGAAGGGUAGAAAGAACGUAACAAACAUUGAAUACAACAGCCAAUAUUGAAAUUCAAAAUGCAUGAAUUUAAUCAAAUAACAAUAAAGAGCUAGAAGUAGACGCAACUGGUUAUAAAGAAUGUCUCAUAACUAGUACUUUCUAUUAGAUUUCAAACAACUUACCAUGCAUUUUUUUUCAUGUCAAUGGUGAAAGCAGUAGAAUUUAUUUAUCAAGAUAAAUAUUUCAUACUUUAUUAAUGAAGACUAUAAGCUGCAAGCUAAGUAACACAUUUAAAGCUGCAGAUUUAGUACCAAACAACCAGAAAUUUCAAGAUCUAAGAAACAAUGAACACGAUGUUCGUGAUAAGCUGGAGACAAAUGCUGCUGCACUUCGUAGAGGAGAAGAAAUCUGAUUUAAGAAUUAUUUAUCUUUGUAUAUUUACCACAAACACAAAACGAAAAAGAAAAAAAAAACACCUGCAGCUGAGCUCAUUAUAGCUAUAUGUUACUCCUACCAAAGAAAACAGAAAUUAAUAUCUAUUGUUGGGUGGAGAGAGGAGUAAAAAAAGGCAAAUGUAUUACCAAGAAAAUGCCAAGGAAAAAUGAGAGAAAAUGACUUUAUAAUCAAGUACAGGAUUAUUAUAUACCUGUACUAAGAAAACAUCUAACGCCAACACAGGACUCCGACCAGGGGGUAUCCCCUGAUAGUAUGGAACUGCUGAGGUAGUAAGGGCUUUUGCAACCAAUAACCCAACGGUUGCUUGCAUGCCAAGAACUGCAGCGCCCAUUCCGAGAAGAUUAACCACUAUACCAUUCUUCAGACUUUUAACCACAUCAGCACGUGGAGGGGCCUAGAAAACAAAAGAAGUGUAUAAAAAUUCUGAAGUUAAAUGAAGCACCAACAAAAGAAUCUAACUGACUGUUGUUUUUAAUCCUAUGGUGUUAGAAAUAAACUAAAAUUAAUUUUCCACCAAUGUAUUAGGAGACUUGUAUGAUCUCCCUGAUCAUACCUCUCCAAAGCUAUUUGUGGCACUCUUAGUUUUUACCCCUUCGAAUUUAUAGAGAAGGUUCUGCCUCACACUUUUGUUAUGUGACACAAUAGUAAUAUAAACACAAAACAAUCAUAGAGGUUAGCAUUGCAAGAAAGUUUGUCGAGGUCAAUGAAGACUUAAGCACCAGGAUAAAAGAAUAGAAAAUAUUGAUAUGAAACUCUCAAUCAAGCAUUCUUUCUUUUUGAAGAAAAAAAUUUUAUCUUCGCGAAAGGUGACAAACAAAAAGCUACACAAACUGCUAACUAAUUUUGUAGGAUAACAUUUUGGUAUUUUAGAAAUUUUGUAGGAUAACAUUUUGGUACUUUAGAAAUUAACAUUUUGUAGGAUACACAAGUACUUUGGAGUUUCAUACAAGCAGAAGCUACAGGGCACGCAAAAGAAGUGUCAUUUUUGAAAUGCAAGGAAUGAGAUGGCUUCCAAAAUCCUAAACCCUACAGGACGGUAUAUUAUUUCUCUGUAAUUAUAACCUAUCAUUUGUGUAAUAACUGAUGUAGAAUGACUAUGCACUUAUAUAUGUUCAUUUAUACAAGUAGUUGACAUCUGAAACAGGAUAUCAAAUGAGAUUUCGGCAACAGAUAACAAAUUACUCACUAUUUACUAUUAGUGCUUGAAUAUUUAUUCAAAUUUUCCAAUUCAGCAACCAUGUCAAACAGCAUAACAUUGACAGCCAGAAAAUGCAAGGUUAGAGAGAGAUAGAGAGAGAGAGAGAGAGAGAGAGUACCUUGGCAGGCUCAUUGGCCGUUCUUUUAAGCCUUUCAGAGAGACGGAUGUAACCAAACGACCAGAAGACUGACACAAAUGCAGCAGCAAUACUGCCAGCAGUGGUGUAAAAUGUGAUUGGUGAUGUGACCUUGCCAGUAACAAGUGUAGAGAACGAUAAUAUCACAGCAGAUACAACUGUGCACACCAGCUGUCCCCAGAACCCAAGGCUACCCAACCGUUUAAAGUAUCGGGAUGUAUUCUCUAGUCUUUUCGAAACCUACUAAUUAAGUCAAAAAGUUUAUAUGAAAAGUGACAGAAGGUUUGUGCAAAUAAAAUAUGAACAGAAGUUUUGUAUGAUAAGAUGCAGGUUAAGCUACUCAAACAAACUGCAGCACUGAAGACUAAAACUUAUAAUGAUAGUUUUACAUAGUUUUGUCAAUAUUUAUCCCUGAAAUCUUUCAAUUUGCAUUUUUAUACAUCAGUUCCACAAAUUUGCAUAUUCAUCGAUCCAUGACUUCCUCAAAUAUUUUCUCUUUGCGUUAUUGUAAUUAGAAUUCAGUAUUCUUCUUAGAUGCCAGUCUAAGAAAAAGCAACAUAACUAAUGACUAAAACUGCCUUAUCUUCUUCCACCAUCUGUUCCCUAGUGUUUACUAGUCAACUCGUCUUUAUAAAAGGUGUCGGGUGACAAAUUCGUUGAACUUUCCAGGUACAUCCAGACUGAAAAUCCUUUAUAACACAACAAAGAUAUAGGCUUUUUUUCUGCUCAAUUUUGAAGGCACUUGGAAUAGGCUUCUCUAUUCUUGUUAUUGUUCGUUUGCAAACUCAUCUUUAUGAAAUAGCUAGGAAAUAAAGAGAAUAAAUAAUAUAUCUUCAUUUUGUUGUCAAACACAAUCCAUAAGAAUAGAGACCGUAAAAAACUCACAAUAGCAAUAUUAGAUAAGGCCAUCCCUAUGUUCCCUCAGCCAUGUAGAACUUGAUAAAGAAACAAACAAUGCCCAAUGAACGGUAAGACUCUUCUUUGUUUAACACCUCAAAGUUCAUCCUACAACUAACCAAUAAGUUACAGACAUAUGUAAAUGUCAUUUUGACCGAUGAAGACUAAUAGAGAAAGAUAUAUAACAUUGUUAGAUAUAGAAUCAAGACUUGUUUCCUCAAUGGAUUAAAUGUAUGUUUAUCCUAAUAUACUUCUCAAAAGGCUAAAACACAAGGAAGUCCCCUGUAUUCAUCGCAAUUUGCACUUUACGCCCACCCACUCCCCUCAAUAAUCAAAACCUAAACAUUGUUGCUCGAUAUACUAAAACCAUCCUGCAUUUUACAACAAACCCCACCCCCUUAACCACCCAACACGCAGAACAGGGCGAAGUACUACAACUAUAUGAAUCUUGGGGCCAUCAAUAGGUUUAGAUGAGUAACCAUACUUACGCAUUAUAGAACAGUUUACUAAUCUGCUAAACUGUCAGUCUUCAAUUGGGUAGUUGGUACAAUUCACAAGGAGGAUGGUAUAUUUCAGGCAUCGAGUUGUAAUUACAAAACCCAAAUGAAAAUAAAAAUCUACCACAUGUUGUACAACCUUUUAAGUGGGGAAAGUUUUCUGGUUUCCAUUAUCGAGUGGGUAAAGGGCAAAUCAGGAUACAUCCAAAAGUAGGUUUUCUGCAUGUUAGCAAAAAAUUUCAGCAAACAGUAGAUCCUUCGAAAGCACUACGCAUUCAUCUCAUCUGUACUCGAUCUCUCAUUCAUCUCAAAACCCUUUGAAUUGUAUUCCAAAAUCCCUUUCGAAGAAACCCAACUCAAAUUAAACCUAACAACGCCUCCCAAAUUUACUCCAUUCCACCUCCCCAUUCAAUUCACCACAUAAGAAUAGACUUUUAUUGCCAAAAACAACAAGAAAAAUCCACAAUCACAAGAACAGAUACCGAGAGAGAGAGAGAGAGACCUGCGCAAACUUUGCCAUCUCGAAUUUUACAAAAAAUCAUCAGUGAUCGAUCCCUUACUCAUUCACCUAAAAACCCUCAAUCAACUCAAACAAAACCAAAUCCAUUCUCCACGCAACGCACCAAAUCAGAUUAGAGACGUUCGUAACAAAAACAACAACAAAACAGAUGCCAAGAAAGAGAGCGACCUGCGCGAGUUUAGCCCUCUCCGAUUCGUCGUCGGCGGCGGGCGAACUCGCCGCGGCGGCAUGCGGGGGCGUCCGAUUCCAACUCCUGCUGCGAUUCCGAUUCCUAGCAGUGAUUAGGGCGAGGAGCUGGGAUGGUGAGGGAGAAGGGGGGAAGUGGGAGAGAGCGGUGGCGGUGGCGGUGGCGGUGGGGGAGGUAGUGCUUGGGAUUAGGGUUAGGGUUAGGGUUAGGGUCAGGGUUUUGCGGCCGCGGCGGGGGAGAGGAGGGUGAAACGCGGCGGCGGAGCGCGGCUGCAGAAGCAGCAGCGCCUGCAUUGUAGCGGUGGUGGUGGUGGCUUCGUUUCCCCCGUAGCCAAGGUAGAGAAAGAAGGGGGCUGGAGAGGGUGAAAUGUAUGGAUAGUCCUUGUACAAUCCCAAUAUUGUAACUUGAUCCCCGUUGUUUUAAAAUGUAGGAUCAGGAAUUUAAGUGCCGAGACGUGGGAUCAUGCAGGAAAUUUGCCGGUACGGUACUAUACUAUGCGUGCCGAGCCGUGUCGAUACAUGCCGGUCAAAAAAUUCUUAUAUACCGACACAUAAUAGUAUGAAAUAUUUAUUUUUUUUAGCAACAAAAUAUUCUAACUAUUUAUUAUAUCUUUUUAUUACAUCUUUUAAACUUUAUUGAGAAAAUUACUUACUAAUUUAAAGAAUAAAGAGUUUUGAACUGUGCCAUCGGUACAGGGUCUGUAUCGUGCCGGUAUCUUGUUAGCACGGUACAGUACGGUGGAUACGGCCCGUGCCAACGGGCACUUAAAACCUUGUGUAGGAUAAACUUCAGAUAUCACCCAUGUGGUUUCGCUUUUUCUCACUUUAGUGUCCUGUGGUUUAAAGUGUAUCAAGUUAGUGUCCUGUGAUUUUAUUUUUAUCUUUUUGACAGCUUCUCCGUUAAUAUUUCGUUAAAUUAUAUAUAAAAAACUUCAUAUACUCCUCCUUGGUUUAUCGAAUAUUCACAUUAAUACCAUUUAGUUUUAACUUUGUCACGGACUUAACGAAAAAAAUUAGUGAAAUCUAUAAUAAAAAGAUAAAGGUGAAAUCAUUGGACACUAAAUUGAUACACUUUAAAUAACAGGGUACUAAAGUGAAAAGUGUAAAACCAUAAGGGUGGUAUUUGAAGUUUUUUCUAAAUUGUAUAAAAUUUAACUCCACUAUCACAUUUUUGGAUCCUGCUAGGGUGGCAAUCCAGCUCACUGUUCGUGAGCCCGUUCGUGUUUGGCUCGAAAUGAGCUCGAGAUUAAAUCGCUCGUUUAGUAAACAAACCGAGCACGAGCUGAAAGAACACGAGCUAGGGUCAGCUCGCUCGUGUUCAGCUCGAUAACUGCUCAAAUACAUAUAUUUUAUAUUUAUAUUAUAUAUAUAAAUAAAUGAUUAUAUAUAUAAUAUAUAUCUAUAUCUAUAUCUAUAUCUAUACUACAUAUAAAAGCGUGAGUUUUACAUUUUUUCCUCUUUCCAAAAAUACCUCUAUCUUUUCUACUAAUAUUUUCGUGUCCAGUAAUUUUCAACCAUUCGUUUCAAAUAAUUUUUCGAAUAAUAAAUUAUUCUUAAACAUAGAUCUUAAGUUUUUAUCAUUGGAUCUCAUCCAACGAUUAAAAAUAAAAGUAUCUGUCACUUUUCUUGACAAAAAUACCCUCAAUAUCCAUUAACUCCUAUCUACGCGUUUUACAAAUAUCUACGCAUUUUCUCAAACGUAAUUUUCGUCAUAACUUAAACAUUAUAUCCUAUUUACGGCGUUUCUAAAAUAUUUUAUUUCUCACACGUAAUAGCACCAAUCACAUAAUAAAUAAAAUAAAAUUAAAUAAAUUUAUCCUAUCUACACGUUUUCUCAAACGCGCCAUAAAUUAAAAUAUCCGUAAUCUCCUAUUUACGUGUUUCUCGAAUAUUUUCUUUCUCACACGUAAUAUCAGCGUCAAUCACGUAGAAUGUUCAUAGAAAGAUUUAAUACCCAUCUAAGCAAAACUAAAUUGUUAAUUAAAUAUAAUUUUACAUUUUUGAAUUUUUUUAGUAAAAUAUUCAAAAGCAAUACCCGUCAAAAUAUUUUACACGUUUCUCGAAUACAAAGCAUAUCUUAAUAUACUCGCAUAUAUAUCUAAAUAUCUUUACAUAUAAUACGUACACUAUCUAAUCUUAUCUUUGUAUAUAAUAUCUAUACUAUCCAACUUAUCUUUGCAUAUAAUUAAUAUCUACACUAUCCAAUCUUAUCUUGUCAUAAUAUUUAUUCACACACAGAAUAUAUUUUUUUUGAGACAUAUUUUUUUAGUAAUAUAUUUUUUAUUUUCACCUAUACUUUUCUCAAAUAUUUUUUUUAGUAAUAUCCUUUCUCAUAUGUCCUUAUGGUUAACACCAGUACAUCGUAGUACAUCAUCAUCAUCGACACCUGCAUAUUGUAACUUUCGCCACCUUCGUCAUAGUUGGAGAGGUAUUUUGAUCUCACCUGAAAAUAUUUUAUUUUUUUAAUGUGUAUUUAUACUAUUUUAGCAUAUUUUUUUGGUAUUUUCACAUUCUUACGUAUACUUUUAUCAAAUAUAAAGUAUACAUUUUUUUAAUAAUAUCCUUUUUCAUUUUCACCUACAUUUUUCUUACAUAUUCUUAAAUAUUUUUUUUAGUUAAUCCUUUCUCAUUUAUCAUCAUUGCCGGCACCAGCACAUGGUCAUCGUCCUCCUCAUCGUCAUCGUCAUCACCGGUGCCGGCACAUUGUCGCCUUCGUCACCUUCGCCGCAGUUAUUUUGAUCCCACCUAAAUUUUUUUUAUACUGUUAUAGCAUAUUUUUUUUAGUAUUUUCUUAUUUUUACUUAUACGUUUCUCAAAUAUAAAGUAUAUUUUUUUUUAGCAAUAUCAUUUUAAAUAUUUUUUUUGUGACAUAACUGUCAAUCUUUUCUCACAUAAUGCAUACGUUUUCUCAAAUAUUACAAAAUAUAUAUGAAAAAUACUUAUAGUAUAAAUUAAUUAAAAUUAUAUAAAACUUAUUUAGAGAUAAAUUAAAGUUAGAAAAAAAUAAUUAAAUAAUAGACAUACACCACCAAUAACGAUUUAAAAUUUAAAAUGUAAAUAUAAAUUUAAUUUAAAAUUAGAUGUGGCAUUUUAAAUUAAAAAUAAAUCAAAUUUUUGAUUCUUUUACAUUAAAAUAUAUAUCAAAUCUUCUAAAUUUUCUUUCUGACGAGAAUGCACGUUACCUAUACAUUUGUCACUGCCUUCUCAAGUGUUUUUUUUAAUUUCUUCCACACCUCCUCUAUUAUGGUUCGCGCCGGCACAUCGUUGUCAUCACCUUCACCAACACAUCUUUAUCCUCCUCGCCGGCACAACUUCAUUGUCACCUUUGCUAGCAUGACGUCGUCGUCCUCACAUUGCAUGUAUAUCGACAGAAGUCCACGAAUCAUAUCGGCGUUGUUGAUGGUCUACCGACAUGUCAUCGGUAGUCGAGAUACAUGCGUAUGCGCAUUAUCGGUGGUCCACAAUCUGUAGGAUAGAUUCAAAAUUCACCCAAAAUUAUAUUAAUAUUUUUACGAUUUUCUUCAAAUCAAUUUGUAUAUAUAUAUAUAUUUUUUAGGGUAUGAAAAAUGUUAAAAUAUUUGUUCAAAUAAGCUCAAUUAAUUUGAACAGUAAUAAUUAUAGAAUAGUAGUACAAUCCGUCUAUAUUUCAAUUUCAUUAAUAACUUAAAAUUAAUAUAUAUUUUAGAAAAAAAUUAUAUUUGAUUUUUUCAAAUAAGUCUUACGUGCAUUGCACGUGUAUAUGACUAGUAUAAUAUAAAUCUUUGUUAUUUGAUUUUUAGCCCAAUCUAAAUAUAAGACCAACUCAAUUAUAAAAUUAUGUAAAAUUUCAACCAUUAGAUCAAAAGUAUAACGGGUGAGAUCUUAUAAAUUUAUUUUCUAUAUUUAUUCUUUCUAAUCCUUUUAAAUUUCUAUUCAUAAACCAAAUCGUAUUCGACUCGGUACUUUAACGUGCUAGCCGAACACAAGCGUGUUUGGCUCGUUGACGCCCCUAGUUCCUGCUACCUAACCUUCAAAAAAUUUUAAUUUUACCAUCAUACCUUUCAAUUUAUUUGAUUUGAGCUAUUUAGAAACUUUGUAACUUCAAAAUUUAAAUACAUUAUUUAUCUUCAUGAAUUUAGUUAUCAUAUUUUAAAUAAUUUAUGUAAUUCUAAAUUCAUAGAAGUAAUUAGUUUAAAUUUUAUAUUGAAGAACCAUCAAAUUAUUUAAAUCAAACAACUUGAAUGACCGGAUGUUAAAAUCAAAAUUUUAAAAAAUUAAGUAGUUGAGUGAAAAUAAUCUAUAGUUUAGAUAAGUUUUAUAUAGUUUUAUCAACUAAGUUUAAACUUUAAAAUUAAAAAUACGAAUUAUUAAAUUCUUAGUCAAUUGAGCUUAUAUCUGCGAGAACCAAAAAUGUAGAAAAAUAUAAUCCAUCCUGAAUCUGCACUGAUUUGCUAAGUAAAUGAAGUGAAAGAUGAAAAAAAAUUUUCUUUCUUUAAUCCAUCCUAACAAAGCCGACAUCCCGAUCAAACUCGAAUGGGCCAAAAUAGAAUUAAAAUUAAUCCAUUCCGAUCCCGAAUCCGUCCCGUUUGCAUUCCUAUUCACUGUCUAAACCAUUUUAGGCUACUUUGAAAUAGAUCCCUCAACUAUUUCUUUUUGCAGUUUGCUUUCCUCGAAUAUAUUGCAUUUGCACAGAAUCCACAAAAUAAAAAAAUAAAAAAUAAAUAAAUAAAUCAUUUUAUCCCACAAUUUAUACAGUAAAUAUACUUUUUUGGUACCGUUUGGUUCGGAUAUAAACAAGAACUAAUUAUUACAGAGAUAAGUAUAAGUAUGGAAAUAAAAAAAAUAGUAUUUGGAUGAAAAUUAAAUUGUUCUCGGAGAUAAGAACAAUUUUAGAUAGUUUUAUAUAAAAAAUGAAGGUGUUGGUGGGAAUAACCGAGAACUACUAUUCUCGAAUAAAAAAUUAACGUUUGGAUAUAAAGGGGGAUAAGGACCUAUUCCUAUUCCUAUCCCCUAACCAAACGCUACAGCAUUGACAAAAUUUUACCAAAUGACUAGCUGAGUAUAAAAUAAGUUUGGAUAAAUUACACAUUUGGCCCUCAAACUAUGAGCGACAACACUCUGGUCCUUAAACUCUAAUUUGUUGUAAUUUUUUUUGUUCGGAAUUUCAUAAUUAUUGCAAUCAAGUCCCAUACUCUAAUUUAGUUGACUAAAUAUUAAUACAAAUAAUGUGGCAUCUUUUUAUUGAUGCAUAACCACCGAUCACAAUGCUGCUAAAUCACUUCUAUAUUAGCGAUACAUCUAUAUUUAGUCAACUAAAUUGAGGUACAGAACUUGAUUGCAACAAUUCUAAAAAUUCAAGCCAAAUCUUGCAACAAAUUAAAGUUUAAGAAUCAAAAUGUCACCGACCUUAUAGUUUGAGUAAACAUGCAAAAGAAUAAAAUCCUUUUUUUUUUUAAACUCAUUUUGAGAAUAACAUGCAAAACAUAAUACAUCUGAAGAGACAACAUACUACCUUAGAAUAUCAAAUGAUGAGCAGCACUGCCGCAUUCGGCAACCCUAGAUCUACAAUGAUCAGUGCAUGGUAUAAGCUGGGGAACGUCGACUGGCCCGUGUAUGCGAGAAUGAGUGCUUGUGCGCACGCAUGCUCGUGCGCGCAAGCACGCAUACGUGUGAAUCGGUGUGUGCGUGCAUGCGCGCGCGUGUUUGUGUCUGUGUGUGUGUGCACCUGCAUGCUUCCAGAGAAUGAGAAACAGAAACAAUUGGACAGCUUGCAUGUACAAAAAAAAAAAAAAAAAAAAAAAAAAAAAAAAAAAAAGGCUUAUCAUUAGUUAAAAAAGUAGCAUAAUGAAGGGCACAAUGUUCUUAUUUUCACCAACCUAAAGUGAUUGUGAUGAUAUGAGUGAGAUUAUUCUACCUGGUUUUUGUCUCACUUCGACUCAAUAAAAACCUAUAUACAUAAGAGAGAAGUAUUCUUUUUAAAGGCCUAUAAGUAAACUUGCAUUGUGUAAACUUGCAAUGUGCGCAAUUUUAAAAGUAUUAGAAUGGAAAUAUUUAUUUGAUGAGGAUGCACCGGAUCGGGCAACCUUCGGCACCACGGAGUCGAAGAGGUAAGCAAUGCAAAGUGUAUAUCCCUGGUUUGAUGUUCUCCAACUUUAGUCCUUCAACAAGGAUUAUUUCCUGGAAAACAGUGCAACUAACAAUUAGAAAUUGAUUUUACCUAUAAAGAAAAGGAAAAAAAUCGUAUCAAUCAAGAUUAUAUUGAAAAGGAAAAUCACGCACCCGGCUUUCGAGAAAAACUAAGUGUGAAGGGAUCAAGUCGUCGUAUGCAGCAACUGAUAAGUAGUCGACUCCUGCAAAUUAUAACAUAAAGUAAAAAGUGUUUGUUGGAGAAAUUUUAGUACUAGUAGCACGACGCUUGUAAGUAGAAGUGAUCGACAAGAAUUGAAGAACCAAGCAUUUUAAAACAUUCUGAACAGCACCGAAAUCGAUGGACAAGAAUUCAUAACCACAACGCAAAUUGAGAUACUAAAAUAAGCGCAGUUAAUGGAGAGAAGAACUACACUAGAAAAGAUAGCAAUGACUAAAAUAUAUGACAUCUAGGAAAUUAAUGGCAAAGAAGGAGCUAAAAUAAUAUCAGAAUUAUGCAAACAGCUUGUGCAAUACCACAAGCUAAAAUGCAUGGCUGACCUACAAAUCAGAAUAAAAGAAAAUGAAAUCUAAGUGAUAUACAAUCUUCCAUGUUAUAUUGUUCCACUACUCCAUUCAUAGGCACUCGAUGAUAUCGCUUUUGUGUUCUAAACAUUUAAAUUCUAAAAUUUCACAGGCUAUUAUAAGAGUUAUCCAUAAACAAACAUAUGGGUAAUGAAUUCCUCAAAGUUAUUAGUGACCUGCAUGUCAUUCAGGAAAUUAACUUUGCAACGCAAAAUUUUUAACUUAAAUUACAUUAUGACCAAUUACUUAAAGAAACAGAAUGUCAAAUGUUACGCAGCGUUGGACAGAGAUGUCAAAUAUGAACAGUGGCUGCUUGGUAACGGCCAGAAGACAUUGACCACUUUGACCACUCUGCUUUAAUUUACAAACUCAUAUUCAGUAACAUUCAAGGCAGACUAGGAAGAAUCAAAUGAGAAGGAAUAGCAGGAAAGAAUAAGAAUAAAGGGAUGGAGUAGUGACAGCAGCUUAACUUGCUUUUGGAAAGUAUGACCUAUUUGUUCUUAGCCUAACCUAAAUCAUUCUGAAUUCCAAGCAAUAGCAAUGAUGCUCUCAUUUGAUUUUGUGAACAUGAAAAAUGUCUGGAGGCCUCCCUAAACAUAGGCCAUUUUGAAAUAGGCCCUGCAACUUAUUUCAUUUUGAUUUUCACACUCUGAAUUGGUAAUUGUUUCGAUUUGCGCAAUUUUUCUACAUCAAAUAGAUUUGUUCGAAUUGAUGGGCUCCAUAGGCCAUCAACUGUUAACAGUUAACGAUGUUUGCAGUUUUAAGAUUAAACAAAACCACUUGUAGAUUUAACCGUUAUUCAAGAGAAAAGUUUAGAACUUGCUAAUUCAAUGAAUUAACAAUGCACAACGACAUUGAACAAGCAGUUAUUUCAACCCACCAACAAGUUUGAUGUCAGUGUUGUCCACCAACCACUGUGCGCCAUCUUUCAUGAAGCCAACAUAGCUUGUAUCAAACUCCUUUUUCCACAUAAGCUCUCUGCAGAGAAGCAUAAAUAUUCUAAUUAUAUCUGCUAAAAAUCAUGUAUGCUUCAUUCUAGUUUGUGAUGAAAAAGGAAAUGGAAGAUCCUCUUUGUGAAAAUAUUGGCCGUCAUUAUUAUUUUGGAUUCGAAUUUGGCCUAUAUUUGGAGCUCAAGCACAUUCGAUUUAUAUUAACAUUGAUAUUUCAAGUUUAUGACCCAGAACUUUAAAGAGUAUAAAUUUCCAAUCUUUCCCAUAUUCCAAAGUUACUACUAGGUGGCUUCACAGGAGUUAAAUCAGAAAAUCAAAACAAAAACAGUUGAAAUAUCAUCAAGAAUAGAAAAAUGUUAUUACCUUAGUAAUUGUGUGCGAAGGUUACCAGCUGAACUUGAAUUUGUAUAUACAAUCGAAUUGAAAAAAAAAAAAAAGCAGACAUCAAAAAAAAGAAAUAAAUAUCCACUACCUGUCAGUGUUUAAUGUUCUGAAAAGCACACGGCGAACUCCUUUAGGAAUAUGUAGAGAUUCCAUUACUUCAGCUGUAUAUAGAGGACAUCAUUUAGCAGUUAAACUAAUAAUAGGGUAUUUAGAGUGUAUAUACAGGAAAGAAAAUUAGCCGCCAAGCAAACCAGUUAACGAACGUGUUACAUUGAAAACUUCAUUAGAUGAAUUUUAGAAACUUAAUGAGUGGUCUCCUAUACGUUCACAUUUAAGCAAGGUUUUAAGUGCCCGUCGGCACGGGCCGUAUCCACCGCCCCGUACCGUGCCAACAAGAUACCGGUACGAUACAGACCCCGUACCGAUGAUACAGCUCAAAACCCUCUAUUCUUUAAAUUAGUAAGUAAUUUCCUCAAUAAAGUUCAAAAGAUGUGAUAAAAAGACAUAAUAAAUAGUUAGAACAUUUUGUUGCUAAAGAAAAUAAAUAUAUCAUGCUAUUAUGUGUCGGCACACAAGAAUUUUUUUGACCGGCACGCAUCGAUACGGCUCUGCACGCACAGUGCCGGCAAGUUUCCGGCACGAACCCAUGCCAUGACACUUAAAUCCUUGCAUUUAAGCACAAACAAUCAGUAACAGCAUUUACUAGUGAAUGCACAGAUUCUCUAGUAGCCCAGCCAAGAAGAUGCUUAAAUAGGGCAGGAGCUAAUAGUUUGUUACCUGUUAUAUUUUUAUCUCUUGGGACAUCUACUAACAACGCAGGACCUGCGCAAAGAAUGAUAUAUAUAAAAUAAGUAUCGAUUGCACAAAAAUUAGUGUACAUAAGGUGAGGAGUCAAUAUUAUAGAUCCAAACUCUACAAACAUGAUCCGUGCAUGAUGCACUUCAAUGAAGGAAACAAAAAAUCAUAAAACUACUUGAAAAAAAAUCUUAGAAAGAGCUAAAGAGCAUAAAAUUAAAAACUAGAAUCAAUUGAUAUAUCAUAAACAAUCAAAUGCAGAACACAAAAGACUUACAUAGGCAUCCUAUUAUCCCUCCGAACACAAUAAAGUUGACAGCUAUCCUCAAUUUUUUUUAUUUGGUAGAGUAUCCCAGGAAUAGUAAUUCCAUGAAGAGCGGUGGAAUUGCAAUAUUUUCAAGAAAAGAGUCAUUAUAUCAACAAAGUUUCUUUAUUCUUACCAAACACAAUGGGAAUAAUACUUAGCAUCAAAGUUCUGGAUUGGAAAAUUUCUUGCUACUGCCAAGAUGAAACUUCUCAAACCGAACACUGCCUAACGAAUCAAUUCCAUAACACAUUUCAUGAUAAAAUCCAAAAGCAACACAAACUACAUAUCCCAUCGAAUUAUUUGGUCAUUUCUAUCGCCUUUAUUCUUCAGAUUGUUAUUGAAAAUAUCUUUUUAGCGAGAUGAGUUACAAAGUAACUUUCUCAAUGCCAUAGUUUCUGGGCCCAGCAUCGGAACACUUCUUUUGGCUGGACCAGUUGAUAAUCCAAUAAGAAGGCUCAUCAUUUAUCAAAACAGGCAAUCACAGUUGAUGUCUCUCGCUGAAGUCUAUGAUGCUCGUAGUUUAUGUUUUAUCCGGUCUCAACUCUCUGACAAUUCUAAGCAAUGGAUUUUGUCUCGGUAAAUCAAGGUAGUUUGUACCUGCUGUCUCUAAGGGCAUGUUUGGCCCUGUUGUGGACGGAUGCAGUGUUGUUUGAUAAAGUUUUGCUUAAAUAGGACUAUUAAUAGAAUCAGUAUACUAAAAUUUCCUACAGAUUUUCUCUGCAGAAGAAUCGGGAUCACAUAACUUAAAGCUUUGUGUUUUGGGGCCCUAAAAUUGCAUUUCUGCUUUCCGCCACAGCAAAAGUUCUGGAACUUUUCUACUUUCAAAACACUCUACUAGCUGCAGCUGACAGCAGAAGCACAAGCUAGGCAGCUAGGCCCUUGCUGUAGAGUGUACCGCUCUAAUUUGAAGCUACCUGUCACGGACAAAAUGUUUUCCGCUGACUUCUCCUUGACAGUGGCCCAAUUUCGCUAACGGAGCGGGUCGUUAAAGAGACCCGAACCCAACCCGCUGUGGAGAGAUGAAGAGUGUUGUAACUUCUCCCAUCAAUGAUGGAAGCUCAAGGGUUAUGAAACUCCCAAGAGUUAAUGGGGUGACUCUUGGACUUAUGGCUCAUUAUAAGGGUGAGUUAAUGUGUGAGUUAGUGUAGGCUAGAUUCAAUGUAUCUAGGAGCCUAUAUAUAGUGCGGUUUGGCUAAGGCCAAAACACACAAGAGACAGUGUGUUUGUAUGCUGUAAUUCUCAUUUUCUAAGUAGUGUAGUACUUAGCAUUUUGAGAGAACCUCUGCCUCAUUCUCUUUGUCAUUUCCUUUGCAUACUUAAUCGUAGGACGCGAAGGUCCGGACUAGCAACAGGAACAAAGGCUUGCCCAUUUUCAAACAGGAAGGCCGGCGCCACACGGGCUUUGCGAACAGAAACGCUAAGGCCGUGACAUACUGCUCUAAUUUGAAGCUACAUACCGGUCUAAUUUGAAGCUACCCCAAAAAAAAAAGAAAAAAGAAAAAAAAUUCACAUUUUUGCUUCCCGCCCCUAUCAUAAGUAACUGCAGCAGAAGGUAACGGACGCAGACACUAAAGUCAACACCAAAUUCGAGUCUUUUUCCAGUUCCUAGCGAAUCCUAGUCCUCUCCGAUUCUCCAAAGAAAGAUAACAUGAUAAACUCUCUAAAAGCUUCUCUAAGCGCCAGAAUCAGAAGCUCUGAAGCUCCGAAUUAGAGCUUCUGCAUUUAUAACACCUCAAAAUCAACUUUUUCUGAUUCCCAAACACCCUGUAAUACAUCAGUACAGCUAAAAGCAGAAGCAGAAGCAGGGCUAAACUAACAACUCCGCUUUCUCCCUAACUCACAAACUAGCAAAGAAAAAUAACAUGAGGAGCUCAAACGCCCCAAACAACAUACCAUUGAGCACCUCGAGAUCGAGCGUGUCGACGUCGAACCCGGCCUCGUAGUAAUGCUGGAACACGUGCCCGGGGGCGUCGACGUGGGUGCCCGUGUGAGCGGGGAGCUUCAUCUCGGAGUUGUUGGCGAGGGACCCGUUCGCCAUGGACCCGGCGAGCCAGAGGAAGGGGCCGAGCCCCUCGGGGGACUCCCACGAGGGCAUGUCCUCGCGGAGCGCGUAGGUGAUGUCGAUGAUCCGUCCCCCGUCGUACUCCUCGCGCCGGAUCGGCACCAGAUCGUCGGCGGCGUCUGCGGCGCCGGCGGAGAAGGGGGCGGAGCACGAGGACGACGACGAUGGGUCGGGGUACGCGGGGUGCGCGGAGGAGGAGAGGGAGGAGGGGAUGAGGAGGAGGAGGAGGAGGAGGAGGAGGAGGUAGGGUUUGAGGGGGAUCGCCAUGGGAGUGGUGUGGAGAGGUGAGGUGAGGUGUGGUGUGGUGUGGUGUGGUGUGUAGUUUGACUCUCAACAGAGAAAAGAGAGAGCCAUAACCUUUUAUUUAAGGUUAAAAUGUAUAAACACCCCCUGAAUUAUAGCCGAAUUUGAAAUCAACCCCUAUACUUUUUUAAAGAAAUUUAUGCCCCUCUAUUUACCAAAAAUUUAAUUUACGUACAUUUUUUAGUAAUUUUGAAAAUUCUUCUAGAAUAAAAAAUUCAUUAUAAAAUGCACAGUAAAUAAAAUAUAUUCAUAGCUUAAUAUCGAUCGACAUAUUUUAAUUAUAAUAAACAAACACAGAGCUAAUAAAAGAAUAAAUAUAAGUAGAAAGCUGAAAAAUAUUAAAAUAUAUAAGAAUUUGACCCUCCUCUAAAAUGUUGAAGUUAUUUAUCGGCUUAUCAAAAAAAAAUCAAAUAAAAUGAUAAAUCUGAAAACUUCUGAGCGACGGUCGUAAAUCAAAUUUUCAGUAAGUAGAGGGGGUGUGAAUCAAAUAAAAAUUUAGUGGUCAAUUUUAACCGAGACUAAAGUUUAGAGGGUGCCUAUACGUUUUUAACCUUAUUUAAAUUAAAAUUUAAUAGGUAAAAAAUAGAGAGGAAAUUUUGAAAAGUAAAGAUAAUGAGAGGAUAAGCAAAAUGCACCUAUGAUAUUUUUAUAUUUUCUAACACUAAUUACUUUAUAUUUCUAGUUGAUAUUUGAGAUUUCAAAAUAGGGAAAAAAAUUUGAAAGCGGAGAUAAUCAGUAAAAAAGCGAAAUAUAACGAAGCAAUUUAUAUUUUCUAGUACAAGUUACUUUUUUUUUUUUUUUUUUGAGAGAUAGGUAGCACGCUACCCGCUUCGUUUAUUUCAUUAGAAAUAAACCUUCGCUGGAAAAAGUGAAUCAAUAGAUGUCGAAACUUGGUCUCCGGGUACCAACCACCAAGCCCUUUGUCACUUGCUCUAGGGACGGUUAGUAUUUCUAAUACAAGUUACUAUACAAUUUAUUUGAUAUUUGAAAUUUUAAAAUUUAGCAGCACAUCGUUAUUUUUAUAUGUCUAAUUAAGUUUAUCUUUCAAUAAUGAAUAAAACGAAUAACAUAUUAUUAAAAAAAAAAAAAGAAAAAGAAAAAAGAAACAUUACCAUCGUCAUCACCACAAAUGAGUUUUAUGAGAAUUUGACGAGAUAGAAGGAGAGAGUUUUUCGUAAGUAUACCAAACUGUGUUGGAGAAUUUGAGCAUCUAUAUCUGUAUAUGGGAGAGAAAAAAAAAAAAUUCGGUGGUAUUUUCUCUAAUGACACCUUAUUGAAAAGCUCCCGGAUCUACAUAUUAGUUUUUGAUUCAAUCUUUAAAAAAUUAAUUUGAAUAUUUUUUAUUGAUCAGAAUCCGUUAUCCCGGUAAAAAAUAUAAUCAAAAUUGGAAGCAAUAAAAAAUAAUUAAAUGUUUAGUCUCUAUAACAAAAAAAAAAUUGUAAAAUACAAAAAUCUCCAUCAUUGCCAUAAAAGCAUUAAGCAUUAAAAACAGGCAUGCAGAUGACCCAAAAAAAAAAAAAAAAAACAAAACUCAGAGUUCCUUAAAUUUUUUAACAAAUUAUAGAGUGCUAUUUAAGAAAGAAUUAAAUAUAAGGAUUAAUAUUAUUUUAAUUUUUUAUGCAGGAAAUAUUUGAUAUAUAGUAAUAUAUAUAUAUAUAUAUAUAUAUUAGAACUAGGCUACUAUACUAUCGUAGCACGGAGCGCUUCAUGCUACUAAUUGUUUUUCGAUGAUACGGCUUCAAAAUGCGACGAUUGGCUCCGUUAGACUUGAUCUACACUAUUGAAAAUAUUUAGAAACUAAAUUUCAUAAUUUUUUCGAUAUCAUUUAUCUAUCAAACAAGUAGUCUAAAUUGUACAGCUGAAAAUAAAAUCUCAUGAAAAUGAUGAUAAAAGAUUUAAAUUCAAGAUCAGAUAUACUGAUUUACUCUAAAAAUGAAUAAGAAUUUCUAUAAAAUUUUCAAUCGCAUUUGAAUUGUUUACAAGUACCUUAAACUCAUAAACACACACAUCGGCCAUUAAAAUUGUCAAUUUGAGAAUCUUUUGAUCACUAGUCAAAUGAUGUUAAAAAUCUGAAAUUUAGUUUUCCAAAUACUUUCAAUAGUGUAGAUCAAGUCUAACGGAGUUGAUCGUUGAUUUGGAAGCCCCAUCAUCGAAAACAAUGGUAGCCACGGAGCGGCUCCGUGCUACCGAUAGCAUAGUAGCCCGGACACUCUCUCUCUCUCUCUUCUCCUCGCUUCCUCUCUCUCUCUCAUCUCCACUCUCUCUCUCUCUAUAUAUAUAUAUAUAUCAUAGAGUUUGACUGGACUACUAUCGGUAGUAAACUGCUCGGUUUACUACCGGUUUGUUUUUGAUGAUAGAGCUUCCAAAUCGACGAUCGGCACGUUAAACAUGAUCUAGACCAAUUAAAUUAUACUAGAAAUCAAAUUUUAUGAUUUGUUUUGCAUCUACACUAAACAUCAAAGGGUCCAUCAAAAUCUAUAAUUUUAAUAGGCCGAUAUGGUGCGUGUACUCGUUUAACGUAUAGAAGAGUUAAUCAACGUAAAUUUUUGUUAGAAAAUUCUUUAACCUAUUUAAAAUAAGAUCUAGACUCCAGAUCUCAAAUAUAAAAAUUGUCUCAUCACUUUUGAAGGAUUUUCAUUUCCAGCGCAUUCAUUUUUUUGUUCACUUGAUGGACAAGAGAACAAUAUCCGAAAAAAUGUGUGAAAUUUGAUUUUCUCAGAUAGUUAAAUAGUUUAGAUCAUAUUUAACGGGUGCCGAUCAUCAAUUUUGAAAACUCUAUCAUCGAAAACAAAUCGGUAGUAAAUCGAGCCGUUUACUACCGAUAGUACUCUAGCAAACUCUAUAUAUAUAUAUAUAUAUAUAUAUAAUUAGGAUUAGGGCCUAGAAUACUUGUGAAAGUAUCAUGCGAGGUGAUACUUGUGUGUUUUUAGCCCACUUGGAUGGAGAGAGAUGUGAGGUUGAAGUGAUGAGGUGGUAGGUGCUGGUGGUAAGAUAGUGUUUAAUCCAAGAGGCUAUAAAUAAUCAAAAGUAGAUCCAAUGGCUUUAAAACUCAAAUAGACCAUGAUGGUGAUACUUGUAAAAGUAUCAUAGCUCAACUCAUAUAUAUAUAUAUAUUAUAUAUAUAUAUAUAUAUAAUAUAUCCGGCUGGAUAUUAUCGAUAGAAACCAAGAAUUGUGCUAUCAAGUUUUCAACCGUUAAAUUUAACCCAUUAAUUAUUUUAGCCGUUAAAUUAUACAUACAACCAACCACCCACGUCAAGGCCUAUGGGGCCACAGUUCAUCCUAAUCGAUAUUCGUCAUCCAAGAGCUAAAAACUAAUAGCACCAAUAACUUGGUGCUAUUAAUAAUAUUCCAGCCUAGUUAUAUAUAUAUAUAUAUAUAUAUAUAUAUAUAUAUAUAUAUAGACACACACACACACAAGGGUCCGGUAAAGUACCAAGUACUUGGUGUUUGCAAGUUUUUCAUUGUUAGAUCUAUCCCUUUGACUAAUUCCAUCUCUUAGACAAUACUAUUCCACCAAUCAUUCACUCAACCUAAGGAAUCUCUAUUAUUCUAAUUCUAUAAAUCUCAAAUGCCGAAAACCUACAAGCACUAAUGACUUGGUGCUUUUAAAAGUAUAGGAACUCUAUUAUAUAUACACACACACAAGCUAUAUCUAUUCGAACAUGAGCGAGCUAUCCUCCAGCUCGUGUUCAUUUCGUCAAAAUUUUGAAUUGAAAAAUUCAGCUCGCAUUCGGCUUAUUUAUUAAAUAAGUGAUGAAUCCACAUCGGUUCAAAUACGAGCUAACCGAUCCCAACUUGUGCUCAAGUUAUUAAAAUUGUGAGUUGAAAAUUUUAGCUCAUAUUUGACUUGUUUAUUAAACAAGCGAUUGAUCUCAAACUCACGUUGAAUCGAAUAUAAACUGACCAGCAAAAUGCGAGCUAUCUAGGUUGUCAACCCGAGUUAAAAAUCGCGUAAGUUAAAAAAUAUGUAAUUUAUAAACCUAUUAGCCUUUGAUUUUUAAUUAAUUAAUUAAUUAAUUACAAGGCGGUUGAAACUUGAAACUAGUCACCACCCAAAUCUGACGCCGGCCAGUCAAGAAAAGGAAGACCCGACCCGACCCGACCCGACCCGACAGUCUGCUGUUAGUUAGGAGGACGAAUGCAGGACGCAAGCCCCAAAAUUAUGGCCUGCGCCUGACGUACCAUUACAUUCCAUACACCAGAUUUAAUUAUUAUUGUUUAAUAUUUUGAUGGCUAAAUUAUGCACCAAAAAAAAUUCUAUAAAUAUCCUUUUUUAUUUUUUCUUUUUAACUUUCAAAAAUCUAUAUUUAUUCCUUCAAAAAAUUUUAAAAAUCUAUAUUUCUUCUAAACUUCAAAUAUUACUCAUGUGGUUUCGCACUUUCUCACUUUAGUAUUCUGUGGUUUAAAGUGUAUUAAUUUAGUACUAUGCGGUUUCGUUUCUCUCUUUUUUUCAGUCCCUUCAUUAACUUUUCGUUAAAUCAUAUACAAAAAAUUUCAGAUAUCCUACCUAUAAUUUAUCAAAUAUUCACUUUAGUACCCUUUAGUUUUAAAUUUAUCAUUGAUUUAACGAAAAAAAAUUAGUGAAGGGGAUAACAAAAAGAAAAAAAUAAAAUUACAGGAUACGAAAAUGAUACAUUUUAAACCAUAGGGUGCUAAAGUGAGAAAGUACGAAACCACAAGGGUGGUAUCUGAAGUUUUCUGAAAAGAAAUAUUGGGUAAUAUCAAAUACACCCGUCAAAACACCUUUCAGAACUUUAAAAACAUCUAAUACACCCUUAUGGGGCCAAAAUGUUUUUAUUGAUUUCCAAAAAUUUUUUAAAAUAUAUCCCUAAAUCUUGGGUUUAUAAAUAAAAUUUGAAGUUUAGAAGAAUAGUUUGAGAAUAUAUAGAAUGAUAAAUCCCCUCAAAAAUAAAUGCUUAAAUUUUUAGGAAUCUAUAAUUUAUUAUAUUUUAUAUACUAAAUAACAAAACUUACAAACAGUACAUUCAGUUCCAGCAUUAAUCAAGUAAAAAGUUAGUUGUUGCAUUGAUCAUCAAUUACAUACCACAAAAUAAUUUAGAUGCAAACUUAAUUACUUCAUCUUUAGUUGUAUACAUUUUCAAUUACAAUUAAUGAUAGGGACGUCAAGAGGUUGGAGUGGAGGCUAGUUUUCCAAUACCCGAAUCUGAACUCGAUUUUAAAAAUUUAUAUCCAAAUCUGAACCCGAUAAAAAAAAUCCGAAAUUCGAACUCGAAACAAUUAUUUUUCUCAUAUUUAAAUAUAAUUUUUAAAAUACAAGUUCAAAUACAACAUUAAACAUUCCUACAUAUUAUAUAAUAUACAAUCAAUUCAAGUUCGAGGCAUGCUUGUGUAGAGAUAAAAUUCAUAUUCAAAUUUAGGUUAGCCGGAUUUUUAAUUUUAAUAUCCGUAUUCGAAACGAUAUCCAUUUAGUGUCUGUGAAUCAGGUCGGGUCUGGAUAGUUGGUAUACUGUAUCUGCAUCUUAAAAAAAAAUUGAUAAAAAAAUAUAUAUAUACCCUAUCCAUUUAACUUCGAAUCGGAUUUCGGUCUGGAUACUUAAGUUAAUAAUAUACCCAUCGGGUCUAUUUGAGCGGGUCUAGAUAGUAACUAUCAGUAUACUACCUGCAUGCUUAAGGCCGGGUAUGGAUCGGAUAUGGGUCGAGUCUAGAUCGGGUAUGGAUACCCGUAUGCAUAUAAUUUUAUGUAGACUUUAUUAAACAGUUUAUUAACAAACCUUAAAUAUCUAGUUGCACCCGGUCCAAUAAAAUUCAUUCAAAAAUAGAUUCAAAUAGUAAAAAGCUAGAAUUUAAAAAAUAAAGAUUAAAAUAAAAAAGGAGUAAACAAAGCAACUAGGGUUUUCACUAGGAUAAAAAUAUACAUAAACCCUUCGUCUAUAAGUCGCAUUGAAAUUAAUUCCUCAACUUCAAAUAUUUUUAUUUACUAUCGGGUAUUUGACCAGAUCCAGAUUCUGAGUCCAGAUUUAGAAACUUUUUCAUACCUUACUCACUAAAAGGUUGGGUUCGGAUCAGGUCCAUGCCGGAUAUGGUUAUAAAGCAUCCAGAUCCAUACCCAAAAUUUUAAUGGAUACUUCCUUUUACAUGUGUAGUAUCUAUUUUUAUCCGGUCCGGAUAGGGUCCGGAUCAUAUAUGAAAUAUAGGGUAUUUUGGAUAGCUUUAGAUAAACGCGCCACUUUUGGAUUUACGUGUGAAUAAAAUUUUGAAUAUUCGUACCCAUCGGCAUACCUAUAUACAGUACUUGUGAUGUACUUAUACACCUGGUGUAGGAAACACACACACACACACUCUCACUCUCUCUCAUAAGUCAUAACACCCAUUCCUCUCCACCGCCUCUUUCUCUGACCCUCCAAUGACAACUCUCCUUUUUUCUUUUCUCUCUCCUCUUUUUAUUUAUUUAUUUAUAUAUUAUUAUUUUCUAUCACUACAAUAAUAUUAUUAUUAUUAUUAUUAUUAUUAUUAUUCCUAAUCUUUGUGUUCUCUCCCCUGUUUCCGUCCCUAUUCCAAAUUACUCUUUUUCUCGAUCUAAUGCCACAAUUAUGGAACUCCCCACGAUGUCCCCACCGCCGGUGUUAUUGUUGCGUAGACCCGGUCUAUAGACCGGACCAAUCAAAUGAAAGCAUGAAAAAUUAAAAAUAAUUAUGAUUCAAUGCUGAGAAUAUCUAAUUUGAGCAACUCAAAUUAACAAUUUAAUAGAGAGUUUUAUUUUAUAACUAAUUUAAACUUAGUAUAGGUUUAUCAAUUUUUCACUUAUUUAAAAUUAUGUUAUAUCUAUCUAGUCCGAUGAUAACUCAUUUACUCUGAUUGGCUGUGCAAAAUAAAAUACUCUAUAAAUCAUCUAUUCUUGUAAUUUUGGAUUCUUAUUCUAAUUAAUUCAGAUUAGUAAAUAAGUGAAAAAUUAUAUCUUUCAUAUGAAAAUCCUAACAAACCUCUUAAAUACAUUCCAAUUUAAUUUUAGUUUAAUUAACUGGUAAUGGAUUAUAUUCUAUAGACCGGGUUCAGCUAAAAUUUUCUACCCACCGCCACGGCGAACCCUUUAUAAUUUUCCCGCCUUUUUCGUCCAUUAAUAAUUUAUCACCAUCAUUGUUUGCUCAAAUUACGAAAACACCCCUCACCCCUUCCCUAUAUAAACGCCCCAACCCUCCCCCCUCCUCCAUUACCCCAUCUCUCUCUCUCUCUCUCUCUCUCUCUCUCUCCACUAACCCUAAUUCCCCGAACCACCUCCUCCUCCUCCUCUAAUGGCGCACUCUCACCUCCUUAUCCUCGUCCUCUUCGUCUCGGUCUCCAUCUUCGCCUUCAUCACCGGCGCCGCGGCCUCCGACAUGUCGAUCAUCGCCUACAACACCGCCCAUGGCGUUCGCGGCAUCGGCGUUGAUCGGAGCGAGGAGGAGAUGCGGCAUCUCUACGAGGACUGGCUCUCGAGGCACGGGAAAGCGUACAACGCCCUCGGCGAGAAGGAUCGGCGAUUCGAGAUCUUCAAGGACAACGUGAGGUUCGUCGACGCCCACAACAACGGCGACGAUGCUUCCACCUUCCGAUUAGGGUUGAAUCGGUUCGCCGAUCUCACGAACGAGGAGUUCCGGGCGCUCUACCUCGGGAGGAAGGGGGAGAGGAGGAUGAGAUCGGGGCCGGAGGGUAACGGUAACGUGACCGGGCGUUACCGUUACGUGGAGGGGGAGGAUCUCCCCGCGAGCGUUGAUUGGAGGGGUAACGGCGCCGUCACCGCCGUUAAGGACCAAGGGAGUUGCGGUGAGUUUUGUUUCCUCUCUCUCAUUACACUGCACGUAAUACUUAAAUGAUAGUAUAUUAUAUCUUAAAAAAUCGAAAUAAAAUCUAAUAGUUAUGACCUAAAAUUUUGUUAGGAGUUUAUGUAUAAAGAAAUCCUGAUUUUUCUUCUGAAUGAUUCUCAUUAAUUAGUUCUAAAUAUCAAUAUUUUAUGAUUAUGAUAUGGUGGGAAAAACUUGUAAAUUUUGAUAAUUUAAGCGUUUUAAAUUUGUAAGGCUUUAAUGCUUUUUGUAUUUUAUAUUAUCCUUGCAAAUAAUGACGUAAAUCUAAUCGAUUACCUUUUCUUUUUUUACUUUAAAUAGAGGGAACAAUUUCACCUUUGCUUUCGCACGAAGAAAUGGGUCGUUGUUGUCGCAAUUACUCUUGUGCCCUUCGCGUGAAUUAGGGUUUGAAACACUUUUUCACCUGAUGGUUUUUUUUGGUCUUUAGACGAGGAAAAAGAAAGCUUUUUUCUUCUUUUUUUUUUACUUUUCUGAUUGGCGUGUGAUUUAACGCCGAAUCGCUCGAAACUUUUUCGCUUAUCGAAACCCCCGCCACAAUUUUAUCACCUCCGCUUUUUAAAUUUCGUCGUUUUCCGAAGCUCUCGGAACUUUCGUUAUCAAAUAUUUAAUUAUUAUAACAAUUUUAAAUGAUUUUUCUCUUUUUUCUGUUUUCGUUUUGUCUCUAUAUAGUUUGUCUUUAAAUAAACAAUCACAUAAAUUUAAAAUCAAGUAAUUAGAUGUGUUAACAUUAUGCAAUAAUUCAAGUUCAUAAUAACAAUUAUUCAGAUUCAGACAAUUAUUACGUAAUUAGGCGUAAAUAUUAAUUAUGAAAGCAUUAGUAUUUUAAUGGUAAGACAUCUGAGAGUGCGCUAUGUGUUUUGAGUCUGAGUUAAAGGGGUUCUUGAUAGAAUUAUAGAGCAUCAAACUCCUGAUUCUUAAAAGAAAUGAUAUUAAUUAAAAUUAGAUCUAAUAUAUUUGUUUAUCUUAAACUAGUAAAAAAGAAUACUUUUAAUUUAUCAUCAUAUAUAUAUAUAUAUAUAUAUAUAUAUAUUAAAAUAAAUUAGAUUUAUUGAAUUAGUGUAAUUUGAUUGGAUAUUAUUAAUAUUUAGUUGUAGGGAUAAUUGCCUAUAUACUCCUCAUAUGUUUGAAAAUAUCCGAUUUAUCCAUAUUUUUUUUUUUCUAAAAUAACCCUCAUAUAUUCUACUAUUAUUGCAAAAUACCCCCGCAGUUAUCUUCUGCUAAGUUAACUUAGGUUAAACGUGAGUUAAAUAUCUACCACAGUUAAAAAAAAUUAAAAUGCCAAUUUUGCCCUUAACUUAAGGGUAAAUAAAAAAUGUUGUUGACGGUAGAGGGGUAUAUUGGAAAAGACCAAAAGUCAAAAUAUUUUUUGUUUCCCUGACUUUAAGGGCAAAUAAGAAAGUCAGUGAUGAUGGAGGGGUAUAUUUGAAAGGGCAAAAUAGUAAUUUUACAGAGAUAACAGAGUUAAUUAACAGAUUUAACUCUAGGAGUAUAUUAGAAAUAGGUUGGAACGUAGAAAGAGUAUUUUCAAUACUAGCCUUCUAAGAGGAGUAAAUCGAAAAGUUAGGAACUUUUUAGGGGUAUAUAAGCAAUUGUCCCUAGUUGUAUUAUGUAAGGUGUAUAAAAUUUGUAAUAGCUUUAAAAUAUUACGUGAACUGAGAAAAGAAAAACAUUAGGAUGUUCCUUUUGUAUAAUCAUGUAUUAGAUUCAGUACAUAGUUGCAUCAUUAUCUCUUUAAUUCAAAUAUUAUGAUUAAAAUUGCCGUGAAAUUCAAUGCGAAGUUACAUACCAUGUAUGCACAUUAAUUUCUCUAGUAUGAAUCAUAAAGAUGAAGUAAUUCGGUGUCUAGUGAAACAUAAGGGGUUAAUUGUAAUAAUCUCAAAAAAUCAUAUCGAAUAAUUAUUGCAAGCUUCAGUGAAAAAUGCCAUCAAAAUCAGCUAUCUGUUACAUACCAUGAGUUCUCAUAAUAUGUUUGUGAUUAGUCCCAAAAUAAGAAAAUUAGAACUAUAUUUACUAAUAGAAGGAUUACAUACCAUGAGUUCUCAUAAUAUGUUUGUGAUUAGUCCCAAAAUAAGAAAAUUAGAACUAUAUUUACUAAUAGAAGGAUUGGUGAUGCAGGGAGUUGCUGGGCAUUCUCAACGAUUGGGGCAGUGGAGGGAAUCAACCAGAUCGUGACCGGUGAGCUGAUUUCGCUGUCGGAGCAGGAGCUCGUGGACUGCGACACCAUCGAGAACCAGGGGUGCAAUGGCGGCCUUAUGGACUACGCCUUCGACUUCAUUGUCAAGAACGGUGGCAUUGACACCGAGGCUGACUACCCCUACAAGGCGGUCGAUGGGAAAUGCGACGUGAAUAGGGUAUGUAUUAUCCUUGCAUUCUAUAGUUGUAAUUGGCUUCUUACCAAAUGUAAGGUUGUCAUCUAUCUAUGAGAUCUAUAGGGCUUGUAUUUGUCAAAAGUCAUAGAUUUUUGGGAACCUUUUACUUAUAGUAACAAGCACUAACCUUUUAUCUAUUGUUGAUUUUGGAACCCUUGAUGCCUGCAUAGCUCCAUAGUACCUAUACUGAAAUAUUUCAAAAACUUAGGGAUGUUGAUAUGUAGUUUUUCUACAUCCUGUAGAUCAUGUGUAAUGGUUUAUAUUCCAAUUUGAAUAUCUUUAAGAUUGAUAUUUUAAUGCCGAGAAGGUCCAGUGAAUAAUUUUUGCUUAAGGGCCCUUGUGGCUGGAGUAGCGCUUCUGCAGAAGCACUUGCUGUGUAGAGCAGAUCGACUUUUACGUACUGUUACAUAUACAAGCUUUAAUUAGAACUUUUGCUUUUGGGUCCGUACAGUAAGCUCAUUUUGGCUUCAUACUCUUAAGUAGACGCUUCAGACUUGUUGGUCGCCUCGUCUAGCUUCUGCUUCUCAAGUAGUAAAGCUGCUUCAGAAGCAAAGUUGAACCGGAGCUUAAUCGUAAAAUGAAAAGGAAUCUGUUGUUGGCGAUUGAUGUUCUUAUCAUGAUUUGUAUGUUUUGUGGUUUUUGCAGAAGAAUGCAAAGGUUGUGACGAUCGACGGGUACGAAGAUGUUCCAGCGAACGACGAGAAGGCCCUGCAGAAGGCGGUUGCGCACCAGCCAGUUAGCGUCGCUAUUGAAGCAGGCGGCCGGGCUUUCCAGCUCUACGAGUCGGUGAGGAUCCCCAAUAUUUCAUUCUUAAGAUUGUUUUGUCAUUCUUGAUCAAUUCAAUUGAUGCAACGAAUGAGGAUUUCUGGCCCUCUGGCAAACAUAGUUGGUUGCUUUAGUAAUCUUUGCGACACAUAAGAUCCUAUGAGCAUCCUAUGAGUGCCGAUACUCGUGACUAAUUUGCGUGUUGUGGUGGUGAUAUAUUAUUAUUAGGGAGGUUACUAAUUGCUGUUGAUUGCUAUCAAUAAUGUACAUAGCAAGAGAUUGGUCUAAUCAAAUUGUUUCAUUAACAAUUUGUAAACAGUAUGUCUUUAAGCGAACGUGUAGUUUCCUUGCACUCUUUUCUGUUUCACUACAUUUGCAAAAUUAUCUCAAUUACAAAAUCCGACCGCACAUCAAUAUAUAGUGUGAAUCAUACUCUGUUUGAGAUAUAUUGGAAUGCAUGAAACUCAAUCUCUGCCUCUUCAUCUCAGGGCAUAUUCACCGGCCUAUGCGGGACCGACCUCGACCACGGUGUGGUAGCCGUGGGCUACGGAACGGAGAAGGGGAAGGACUACUGGAUCGUGCGCAACUCGUGGGGACCGAGCUGGGGCGAGGCAGGGUACAUCCGGAUGGAGCGCAACGUGAACGCAGCUGCAGGCAAGUGCGGGAUCGCCAUGGAGUCCUCGUACCCCGUCAAGAAGGGCCAGAACCCCCCCAAGCCCGGCCCGUCCCCUCCCAAGCCCACCCCGUCUCCUCCUCCGGCCCCGGUGGUCCCAACCACCUGCGACAACUUCUACUCGUGCCCCUCGAGCACCACCUGCUGCUGCAUAUACGGGCUCCGAAACUACUGCCUUGCCUGGGGCUGUUGCCCCAUCGAGAGCGCGACGUGCUGCGAGGACCACUACAGCUGCUGCCCCCCGGACUACCCGGUUUGCAAUAUCAAGAGGGGCACCUGCCAAAUGGUAAUAAUUCUCAUGUCCUAUUUCAUUGAGACACUUCUAUUAGCACCAAUGUUUUCAAGCAUGAUCAGAUUGUUGGUAAUCGUCUAUAGAAAUAAAUCCCCUGUUUACGAAAACCGAAAGCACAAUUCUGGUAAAUUUUCAACUGCUCCAUCCAUCUCUUAUCUAGAUCUGAGUAGAAAAUCAUUGCUAGUGUGUUCUACAAGGAUUUAAGUGCCGUCGUAUGGGGUCGUACCUGAACUUGCCGGUACGGUACGGCACGGUGCGUGCCGAGCCGUGCCGAUACGUGCCGGUCAAAAAAAAUUCUUGUGUGUCGACACAUAAUAGCAUGAAAUAUUUAUUUUUUUUAGCAACAAAAUAUUUUAACUAUUUGUUAUGUCUUUUUAUCACAUCUGGCACGGAGUCUGUAUCGUGCUGGUAUCUUAUUGGUACGGUACGACACGGUGGAUACGGUUCGUACUGACGGGCACUUAAAAUCUUGGUGUUCUAUCAACAUCUAAAAGUCGACGAAACCAAAGAGUUUACUAUGUUGUACUAGUAAUAACAUUUUUUCGCGGAUAUUUUCAGAGCAAGGACAAUCCUUUGGGCGUCAGGGCGCUGGCCCGUGCCCCCGCAAAGCCAUUCUGGGCAUACACAGGUGCCGACGAUGACGAGAAAAGCGUGAUUUUGGCUUAGUUGAAUAUGAGGUGAGAAUUGGAGGAGGAUGCUAUUGCUGAAUUCGUCUGCAAAAAUUUCUAUCGUUUAUGAGUUGGAUUCGAAAGAUUUGCUUGAAUUCUAUUCUAGCCUUUUCUUUUCUUUUCUUUACUUUUCAUUUCAUUUCCUUUCUUUAUUUUAGAGCAAAAUCUUGUACAUGGCUCUGAAUUUACCCGUCGGAUUAAUCAAGAACUGCUUUUGAUUUGUCUUAAACUAGCUUCUUUUAGUGAAUGUAAAUAUCUAGUUUAGUAUCUGCUUGUUCUUUUCCUUUCUUUUUUCUUUUUUUUUGUGUGUUAUUUACGCUUUUUUUUUUUUUGCAUUUGGCCCCCUCAAAUUUUUUUUUUACAAAUAGUCCCAUCAAAUUUAUAAUUGCAAAUUUGGUGCUAUUCUCGCCACACAGGCGCCACAUCAGCACCACGUAGGCUGGAGGAGUGUUAACGGUGAAUGAUUUAUCGUAUUCAAUACUUAUUUUCUCUUUAAAUAUAAAUCAAUUAAGAAUUCAAAUAUCAAAUUUACGCAGAAACUUUAAGAGGGAAAAAUAAGGGGCCACUUUUAAACAAUUUCACUAUAUAAAAUUGAAUAAGUGUAAUUCCUCUCUGGUUACUGCUAGUGACAUGAAUUAUGAGCUCCAAACAAAGAGAAAUAUUCGAAAAACAUCCGAGUAAGAUAAUCGGGUUCCUAUCCUCGGUAUGUACCAUUUGGUUGGAGAAUAAAUAUAGAAUAAAGGAGUUUAUCAGAAAUUUAUUCCUGUUAUUCUACCAAACGAUGUGAAAAAUGACUAUUCCUCUCUUAACGGGUUAUUCUAGAAUAACUCGUUAAGAGAGGAGAAUUACUAUUCUUCCCUCUCCAUGGAAUAGAAAAACUUGUUCUUUAUUCUCCCCUUUAAAUAAUAAUUUAUUUAUUAAACUAUGAUAAUUAGUAUAUUAUAUUCUUAACAAAUUAAAUUCUUAAAAUAAUUUUUUCUGUUAAUUAGUUUCUAAUAAUUAUAAAAUAUUGCUAACUAAUAACUAAUUGACUUAUUUAAUUAUUUACUAACCAUUUGAAUUAUUAGAUUAAUGAAUAUUUAAUUACAUACUUGAAGAAAUAAUUGACUAUUUAUAAUCAAUCACUAAUCAAAUGAUAAAUUAAUUAAUAUGUUUAUUCAAAUAAUAACUAAUAUAUAUAAUAAUUAACUAAUAAAUAUUUUAACUUAUCAACGUAAUUUAUUAACUAAAUGUAUAAUUAAGUAAUUAGCUAACGCAUUUAAUUUAUUUCUAAAUAACUAAUUAGAGCCAUAUGAAUAAGUGGAAAAUGCCUAUGAGCCCAAAUGGCUCCCACAUAAUUCAAAAAAAUUGAUCCAAUAAAAUAUCUACAUUUAAAAGAACUAGGCUAAUAUACUAUUAAUAACACCAAGUUAUUAGUGCUACUAAAUUUUUGGCCAUUGGAUUAACAGAUGUACGGUUAGGAUGAUGUGUGCCUCCUAGAGUUAAGUGGGUAAUUGGUUGAAUAGUAUGAUCUAACGGAUGAAAAUGAUCAAAAGGGUAGAUCUAACGGCGAAAAACUUGGUAGCACUAAGUGCUUCGUGCUAUUAAUAGCAUAUUAGCUGGACUCACAUUUAAAAUAUCUAUAUUUUUGCACAUAACUCUUUCACGAGGAGGGACACCACUGUGGAUGAUGUGUUUAUUUGUUGAUCGCCUCAAAAUUUUCUAUCUUAAUUAAUGUAUAUAUUAAUUUUUUUAAAAAAAAAUUGGCACUUAGAUUCUGUGUAAUCUCAUUAGCUUUGGGCCAAAACUGAAUGAGAAUCAAAACAUGCAAUCAAAAUUAUGAAACAUCCAAACUAAUCAUCAGCAUCAGCAUCAUUUUUAGUUGCUGUAUUUUUAAUUUUAUUUGUUGUAUUGUGGUUGUGGCCCAUCUCGUAAGCAACAUCAAUUAUAAUAUAGUAUUUAUUAUACAUUCUAAAACACAAUAAAAUAUUUUUGAGUAAUUAUCAAAAUCAAACGUAAAAAACUCUAAACAUAAAUUCAAUAAUAACAUCUCUUUGAGUCUCCUCCGUUUGGUUGUGUUCGAUUUGAUUUUUUUAAAAAAUAAAAAUAGAAAAAAUCGGAUUAUUCGAAACUUUAAUAAUUUAAUGCAUAUUAUUACUCCUUAAAUUUAAAAAAAGUAUUUGGAUUGAAAAGUUUUAGUGUGUAGAAUUAAUUAUAAUUAUAAAAUAUUUAAAUCAAAUAACAUUUUUUUAUAAAAAUUAAAUAAGUAAACUAAACCAGUCAAAUUAUUUUCUUUCAUUUGAUUUGGUUCGUGCUUUCGCUUUAAUUCGCUUUAAUUCUAUUUUAAAAAAGAACCGUAAAAACAGACCCGCACCAUAUGAUGCUCACCUUAUUUGGAUGUUGGAAUGGGAAUAAAAGUUUCGAUAUGAGAUGAUAACUUAUUUGAUAUUAGAAUUUUCUAGUAUGAUUGAAAAUAAAAAUUUUAUUUUUUAUUUCUUCAAAGAUAUUAUUAUUCAUAAUUUAAUAAAAUAGUAUAUUUUAUAUACGAUACCACAUUUCUUAUUAUUCAAAUGGAUAUAUAUUUUUGAAGUAAAUUAAGAACAUGCGCUAAAUAAGAUAUUUAUGCAUGUAAAUAAGUUUUGCCGCUCUCUCACACGAAGCUAAAAUACAAAAAAAACCUCCAUAAAUAUGCCAUAUUCACUUUUCUCUUUUGACUCUAAAAAAUUUAUAUAUUGUCUGCUUAAAAUUUUACAAAUAUUUUUAAAAAGUUAUGACGUAAAUAAAAAAACCAAAUAAUCAAAUUAUACUUAUUUAUUUUAUAAAAAAUAAAUAAAAAAUAAAUUAUACUUAUUUGUUUUAAUAUAUUUUUGAUAUAAAUUAUAAAAAAUAGACAGAAUAGUGACGAAGACAGAUAAAGCGAGUUAAAUGUAUCAGUUUAAAAUUCGAAAAAACUUCAAAUACCCUCCUGUGGUUUCGCAUUUUCUCACUUUAGUACCCUGUGGUUUAAAGUGUAUCAAAUUAGUACCCUAUGGUUUCGCAUUUUCUCACUUUAAUACUCUUUGGUUUAAAGUGUAUCAAGUUAGUACUUUAGUUUUAUUUUUGUAUCAAGUUAGUACCUUGUGGUUUCAUUUUUCUCUUUUUAUUAUCCAUUUCGAGAUAUUUUUUCAUUAAAUCAGUGAGAAAGUUAAAACUAAAGGGUACUAAAAUAAAUAUUCGAUAAACCUAGGUAUGGUAUCUGAAGUUUUUUAUAUAUAAUUUAACGAAAUAUUAAACCAGAGGGUGCUAAAGUGAGAAAGUGCAAAACCACAUGAUACCAAGUUGAUGCACUUUAAACCACGGGAUACUAAAGUGAGAAAGUGCGAAACCACAUGGUACUAACUUGAUUCACUUUAAACCACAGGGUACUAAAGUGAGAAAAUGCGAAACCAUAAGAGGUGUAUUUGAAGUUUUUCUUAAAAUUAUGACAGUGUGAAAUAUAAAUUUUUAAAAAAUAAAAAAAUAAAAAAUGGGAUAUUUAUUAGACCAAAUUUUCUCUAUUUUACCCCCAAAAGAGAAAGGGUAAAAAAGAAAAGAAAAGAAAAGAAAAGAAAAAAAAAAACUUGUUGCCUUUUUUCUCUUCAACGCCGUUGCCCUCUCGAUCUCUCUCGUUAAGACGUAAACCCAAUCACUCCCCGCCGCGACGAUACCAAAAUUUUUUUUUUUUUAAAAAAAAAACCCUCCCCUCCUCCGCCGCCGCCGCCGCCGCCGACGACGACGACGACGACGACGAUGGUUCAGGCGAAGAGCAAGAAGCCGAAGCCACGGAAGCCGCAGCGCGACGCCGUAAAUCCUCUCUCUCUCUCUCUCUCUCUCUCUCUCUCUCGAUCGAUCGAUCGAUCGAUGGAUCCCACUUCCAUUGUUAGAGAAUCAAGAUUCGUCGGAGAGGAAUAGCUUUCUCAUGGAAUCUAGCUCUUUUUUUUUUUUUUUUUUUUGAUGAUGAUCAUUAGGAGGUUAUUACUUGAAUCUUCUUGAAUCUAUUGCAUGUUGUUUAAGAUGGAUUUAGUGUAAGAAGCAAUGAUUUAUACAUGCUUAUAAUUUGUCUGUUCAAUCUCUUUGAAAUUAUUAAGAUCUUUAUAGGUGAUACUUCCUGAUGGAAUCCAUGGGUAAACUUCAAAUUAUCAAAUUACCCCCCGUGGUUUAGCUCGUUUUUACUUUGCCGCCCUGUGGCUUGCUAAGAAAUGUUAACUUUGCCACUCUAUUUCAUAUAGAAUUUUUUGGUAAAAAUCGUAAAAUAAAAAUUAAACCACGUGGAGGUAAAGUGAAUUUUUUUGAACUAUAGGGUGGCAAAGUGAAAAUAAGCUAAGCCACAAGGAGGGGACUGCGAUUUGAAGUUUACCCUAAAAAAAGAAAAAGAACUUAGCUACAUAGGUGUGACAGUUAGGCCUCGAAGAGACAAAAAAAAGACGGCGAAAGUGGAGUCCCCUAAAAGCACCAACACCACCUGAAACCCUAGUAAGGUGGAAUUAGAAGCUCUACAUCUUACAUCUAAUUAUGCUUUUUCGCAAUCAAUCAACUUUGACCAUCGCAAAUGCGUCCGAAAUAAUCUACCCUUUAGGAAUGCUGAUUGGGUGGGCGAGAUUAUAUUAUGUAAUAGCUAGCUCCUUUCGGAACGAAAUGAUCUUUUGUACCCUGUUUAUGAGGCUAAUAGGUUGAAAGCUGUUGGCUUUGCUUGCAUCUCUGUUCUUCGACAUGAGGCAGAGACAUAUGAAUUAUUUAUAUGUCCAGUAGUCAAACUACCAUUAUAGAGCUCCCAAAAGAUGUUGAAGAUGUCGUCUUUUAUAGCCCAUUUGGUUCACGGUUUAUAAUAUUUCCGUAAUCCCCUGAAAGAAGGGCUAAAGUGUAUACCCUCUUGAGUUGUAUUAAUGAAUAUAUAUAGUACAAGAGAUUGUCUUACUAUAGUAACAAUGACUACUAUAGUAAGAGUAUAACUAGGAUUACAUACUAUAUAAUCCUACUCUAUAGAAGGCAAUGAUACUACUCUAUAUAAGGCAAUAAAACACAAUAUCCUAAUAUAUCGUAACAUCCUAAUAUAGAUAAAAUAUAUCGUAACAUCCCCCACAUUUUCUAUUAAAAAUAUUUAAAUCAUUACUAUUCAAGUUAAGUGGGUAAAUUGUAAAAGAUGUUAGUAAAGUAGUGGAAUCAUUGUAGUUUCCUAGAUGGUAGGAAUGCUAGAUUAUCACGAGUUAAGAUAUAUUCUCAUUUUCAUACUUGAUGGGAAUUAUUAGUAGUCCAUUACUAAUAAUAUACUAGUUCAGUAGUUCUUAACAACGGCUCAACCCUAGUGACUUGAUAAGUUAGUAACAAAUUUGCCAUUCCAAAUAUAAAAUAUAAAACAUUCCAGGAAUAUUACAAACAUUGAAAUAAACGCCCCCUUAUUGCUUCCCAGAAGGUUUGGUAAAACACUAGAUGACAACUAUCGAGGCAAGGUGCUUUGUCCCCUCCCAAUUGGGAGGUGCGCCUCAUAAUCUCAGCCAUAAACAACUCACUCUAGUCCGCUUGCAUGCCAUACUCCUGUCCAGAUGGAGCGAAAGCCUCUUUAAACUCGUCAAAGAAAUAGUCUUGCUUUUUCUCUCUCUGUAUAUUCUUCUGCUGUUUGCAUCAAUCAUAUCAAUUGCGUGGUUCCGUCUUAUACUGUUCGCCGCUGCGUGGAAGAACUUCGUAUUGCCAUCUCCCUCCUGUAAGCAUCUUUGCUCUAUGUUAGAGGCCAAUUCUAGUUAUUCUUCCUUUAUGUCCAAGUUCUGAAUCUCUUCCAUAGUCUCCUUCAUUUUAAAAUAGUGUAGAAAUGUGUGGAGUACCACUUUUUUUGACAAUGCCUAAGCCUCGCUGUGACUUGAAUCUUUGCUGGGCACUUCUUUAUGUCAGAUAGGAACCUUUUGUAUAAAGUCUUCCCUUGUUUACCAUACUUCCGGUUUUCACACUUUGUCGCCGGUCAAAAGUAGAGUAGGGAAAUGAUCCGAAGCGUGGCUGGACCAGCUGAUAUGGAACAUAAGCACUAUAGUUUGUAUGUGCAUUGUACCUACUAUGCCCAUAAGAGUUUGUUAAUGUGGAAUUUGCUAAAAUCAAGGGCACAACAAGGUGAAACUUCAUAGAAAAACACUAGUACGCUACAAUGGGUAGAUUUGCUAUAUCUACCCCUACUUUGUCUCCCAAUUCUCCCAAGUUUUAGUAUCUAAGUUUUGAAUUUGAACUCUGAAAGUUUGGUUAUAUUGUAAAGUGAAUCAGCACUUAUUAGUUUGCGAUAUUUAGAGUGUUUUGGCUAGAAUAAGUAAACUUGAUGAUUUCAUGGCUCAUGAAACUUUUUUUUUUAAUCCUUCCAUGCACGUUGUAGGAUCAGCUUAUCUCUAUUUCAAUACUAACUGCUAUUAUAUUGCUAUAUAUAUACCCUUUAUUGGCUAAUAAGGGUAAAUAUUCUGUGUGGUACAUAGGUAAAGAAGCAUGGGAAGGAUGCUAAUAUGACAGAAUUUUGUGCUCAAUUGGACACCCUAGGGUUAAAGAUAAUUCAAGUGACAGCGGAUGGAAAUUGUUUCUUUAGGUUUGUAGAGAAAAUUUUACUUUUCUUAUUUUGUUCAUCAUCGGAAUGGAUAUGUUACUACUGUACCAAUGAAUGUAAAUGGAACCCAUAACAUGCAUUAGAACAUGUUUUAUUUAAUCCUUUCUUCAAGUUUCUAUGUAUUCUGUGAGUACUCAAGGUAGCUUGCAGGGCUUUAGCUGACCAGCUAGAGGGCAAUGAAGAAGAACACCAAAAGUACCGUGCUAUGGUUGUACAAUACAUUGUGGUAUGUAUGUACAUCAUUGUAAAUCACAUGGAAAUUGAUUCAGCUACCUUUAGAUUGAUAUCAUGUGCAUAAUCUAGUUACCAAAUACACCCAAUCGUACACUUUUCUUAAUUUUAUGCAAUCAAGAUUAAUAAUGAACUUUGAAUAUGUUAACUUAUCCUUAUAAUAAAGUUGAGUUGUUGAAUUUUUCUUUCUUUUUUUCUUCCCUUUGCCAAAUUUUGUUUGUUAUACUGUCGUAGCUAAAAAUGUUUAGUAAAUGCUAAGUGGGAGUAUUACAUUUUCCUAAGAUUUUACUCAACAGUUUGUUCUAAAUGAUAAAGAAAAUCUAAUUCCUCUAGUUUUCAUGUUUAUAGAACCACAGAGAAGAUUUUGAGCCAUUCAUUGAGGAUGAUGUUCCAUUUGCUGAAUAUUGCGAGUCCAUGGAGAAAGAUGGUACAUGGGCUGGCAACAUGGAAUUGCAAGCGGCUUCUCUUGUUACUAGAAGAAACAUUUGUAUUCAUCGGGCAAGUUCAUAUCUUUUUUAAUCAUGUUUAUAGCUAUUACAACUUGAGGAAAAUCUUGACUGUUGUUGAUUGGUAUAAAGUUUAAAAUCGCUAGUAAUUUUUUGAUUGGUAUAAAGUUUAAAAUCGCUAGUAAUUUUGUCCUCUUUUAAGCUUUUGAAAUAUGAACUAUAAGAUCAUUUUCUUUCCUUUCCCAGUACUUAUGUUUAUUUUGAGUAUAUUCGAUACCCGAGUCUUUUUUAGAUAAUUUAUCUCCCACUAACACUUAUUCAACUAGUCUAGUUAGAUCAUGCCAAAAGUCCUCCUGAUUUGGUCUUAAGUUGCACCGAUAAUAUUCUUCUUCUAGUUGCUUUUUGUUCACUAUGCUGUCUCCUAUUAAUUUUUCUUAUACAACUUUUUGUUUAACAUUUGGAUUUGUUUUGUUUUCCAAGCACUAGAUAUAUUGUCUUUUGUUUUCAGUUUGCCAGAUUUUUAUACUUUUGCUCCAUUUCAUCUGAGGAAUCAUGUAAUUCUUUGAUGUUUGUAAUAAUUAUCAUGAGAUUCUAUCUUUCAAGUUAGCGAUCGGUCUGUUUUGUUUGAAUAGAGGAGUUCAAAGAAGCAUUAAUGGCCUUUUCAUUUAAAUUAUCCCAACAGCAUCCUGUUGCAAUAUAAGCAAAAGCUACAAAUUAGAACUUCUACUGGGAUACAUAAGCUCAUUUCACUUUCCUUGGAAAAAGGCUCCUACAUUUUUGUAUAUCAAAUGCUUGGUUGUAGCUUUUUGAAGUAGAGAAGUUAUUUGAGAAGCUAGGCCAAACUGGUACUUAGCCACACGCAUCCUUAAUAUUUUGGAGACCUUUUAUCUUUUGAUCUUGUAAUCUUUUUUAUUUUUAAUUUUUUCCUAUUAUCAGCCAUUUUGCUUUACAUGGGUGCCGUGGCUUGUUUAGAAUGAUCUCUUGUUAUGUUUUACAUCUGUUUUAGUAAUUUAAGCUUCUUUUGAUUGAGUGGUCAUAAAUAUGUUUGAAUGCAGCUUAACUCUCCACGUUGGUACAUAAACAAUUUUAGCGGUCGUGAUGGUAGUAUGAUUCAUUUGUAAGUUUUUUAUCCUUGACUUUUGUUAUGCUCUAGUUUCCACCGAUCAAUGGGGUGAGUUAUGAAAAUACUUUUUAAAUGAUAUUUCUGAUACUCAAGGGUUUUAACUUUUAUAUUUCAUGUUCUUAAUGAAGUAUGAAACAUGUUCCAUUUCUCAGUUUCCAUUUGACGUUUGGUCCGUAAGCAAAAUGUAACAAGUUGGCAGUUUGUGGUUAACUUUUAGUGGCCGUGGAUGGAAAAUUUUCCAAAUAAUAAAGAAAAAGGAAAAAAUGCUUUAAAAACUAGGGAAAAUUGGGGGGAAAAAAGGAAACCUAAGGCGCCAUUUGGUAUUUUGUUUGUUUUUUAUUUUUUUAAAAUGACAUUUCUACAUAGAAAACUGCAGGUGUUGACAGUGGAUUGUUUGCAAUCCCUUUAUCCUAGAUGUUUAUUUGACAACAAAAAAUAAGAACUUGAAAACAACUUUUUUUUCGCUUCCAAGUUUUUUUUUUUAUUUAUUUUUAUUUUUUAAAGUUGUCAUCAUAUAUCACUUGGUCAGGGUACAUUGCAAACUAAUUAAUCAUGACAAUAAGAGGAAAAUCCUUUUUUCAAUACAUCAACUUAUAUAAAAUUAGUGUUUUAAAAAAUAAAAACAUGACAAUGAUGCCAAACGAGGCCUAAGUAUAAAAAUUAAUUUGGUAGAUAAAGUUGUAAUAAUGCUUUAUAUCUGUCUAUUGUCAUUCAAUGGCUUGUAACAUCUUUCUAUUCCCAUUCAAUAGUUUUAAAUUCUGUUGUGAUAUUUAUGUACUAUUGCCAUAGUUCUGGGUUUUGUUUGUGAAGGAGUCUUAUUAUUGCGUCUUGUGAUAGAUCAUUCUCAUUGAGAUGCUUUCUUGAGAAUGAUUUGAUGCAAGAUGUUUUUAGUUGCCAACAUUGGAAUUAUUUAUAGUCCUAUAUUCGCGAUGAAAUAAAACCAGGGUAGACUGAUUUAUUAUAUUGAUUAAUGCAGAUCUUACCAUUACGAUGAACAUUACAAUAGUGUUCGGCUGAAGGAAGAUUCUUGUCAAGGACCUGCUUUGCCGAUUAAUAUUAAGGUUUUCUACUUCAAGUUUUGAAUUCUGAUAUACUUAUUUUCACCACGUCCAUGAGAGUUGUACCGACUAACAUACUCUGACAAAGGAUUAGUAAUUUAAUCCAUGAAUGUAGCAAUUAAAUCCUUCCUAUAGUAUACUGUCUGGAAAAAGACUCCAUAUCAGAAUCAUGUUAUACAUGACGUUCUUUGAGGUUGGUCCUGGUCGCAGGUAAUGCUGACUUUGUGUUCUUCUAUUGAUCAAUUAAUUGGAGGGCUUAAUUGUUACGUGGAACAAAUUUCAGGGCUUAAAUUGCUAACAUUCGAUCUCUUUUGGACAACUGAAAUUGUGAUCAUACUUCAGGGACUAAAUUUGUAAUUAACUCUUCAAUGAAAUUGCCCGAUCUGAUAUUACUACCACUCCCAUGUAGGCUGAUGCAAAUAUUUCUAGAGCAACACAUAACCCUAAUAUUGAAUCGAAAAGAUCCUUUCAUAAAUCUCCCUGGGAUGUGGGCUCAGUUAAGCUGGUUGUGGCCGGAACAGGCUGUAAUAACAUUGACAAAGUUGAGCAGGUAAGAUUUUCUUUCAGGUUAAUGAAGUACUUGGGAAAUUAAUAGGUAAAAAGCAAUUCUACAUGAAAUUAAAUUAUCGGUCAUGUUGUAUAAAUAGGUUUUACGAGAAGUAGAUGGCGAUGUUGAUACUGCAAUUGAGUUUUUGAUUGCUGACCAGCAGGCAUCAGAUGGAAAUGACACUGAAGACAAAUCGUCUAAGGACAUCAAUCAUCAUGGUAACGCUUUACAUGUCUUGUGGUUUGUACAGAUAUUCUAUCAUCUUCGAAGUGUUAUGGUUUCCACAAAGUUUUAUUCUGUCGAAUGACGCCGGCCUCCACUCAAAUACUUGAUGGCAAAGAAAUAUCUAUUUUUUUUAUUGUUAUUAUUGUCAAAUGAAUGACUUACCCUUAAUUUUUCUCGUUGCAUUGUCAAUAUUAUAUAAUUAAUAAUAGUAAUCAAGAAUUAAAGUGCCCAUCGGCUCGGUCCGACGUAUCGUGCCAGUAAGAUAUUGGCACGAUACAGCCCCCGUGCUGUUAGCACAACUCAAAACCUUCUAUUUUUGAAAUUAUUAAGUAAUUUUCUCAAUAAAAUUUAAAAGAUUUGAUAAAAGUACAUAAUAAAUAAUUGACAUAUUUUUUGCUGCUAAAGAAAAUAAAUAUUUCAUGGCAUUACGUAUCGGCACACAUAUAUUUUUUGUGAUCGACAUGCAUCAGCACGGCCUGGCACGGACCGUGCCCUACCGUGCCGGUUAAGUUCCCGGCACGAUCUCGUGCCGUGGCACUUAAAUCCUUGAUAGUAAUAAUGAUAAUUUAUUUAUUUUUUUUAUUGUUGUGAUUGGUGAUUUAAUCUUUUCGUCCUUAAGUUGCAUGUAUUUGGUAACACAUGAUGUAUCCUCUAUGUUCUCUUAUCUCCGUUUUAUUUUCCAACCUAUAAUGUUGCUUGAACUGCUUGUCAGACCUUUUAUACUGUUUUAUAUAUUAAGCAUCUAGCGCAUAUAAGUUAGGCGGGCUUACUUCUUUUCUAACUUUUCCUAAAUGAGGCACCUUUCUCUAAUUCAAUUUAGUCUAAAAGAGAUCCUAUUCUUUUGAUGUAACAGUCCAUUCUAUAUAUUCGUAGAACUUAGUAUUUUCCUCAUAUAUGAGCAACCAAAAUUUUGUAACUACUUCCUAGAGGAUGAGUAUUUCGUCAACUUUCUUUUUCUUUUUCCUUUUUUUCCCUUUUCCCUUUGUUUUCUUUUUGGGGUUGAAGUGGGUUGUCCGAGUGAAAGCUCUUACUUUGCAAACAAACUAUGCUUCCUACAAUCAGCAAAUUGACAGAGAACAUGUCUGCACUCUAAAGAAAGGAACUAAAAAUUUAUUGAUGGCGUAAACUAAAUUGUCCUCUUCCAUAGAUGUAUUCGCAGUAUUACAUAAGUCACCUACUAAUUAUAAGUCGAGACCGUGAAUAUCUAUAUGGAAACAGAUAAAUAUUUUCAGUUCUCUCCAAUUUCCAUUAUCCUGCGAGUAAGUACCAUUACUAAAUUUUUCGUGGUCCUCACUCCUAUCAUCCCAGUAGACGAUGAUAAGGAGAAUUGCGAUCAACUGGAGGUGGAAAUAGUGGAGACAAAUAGCGAAAAAGGUGCAUCUACUAAUAAGGUAUUUACCAUGGCAGCAAGUAGAAAUCUUUCUUUUUUAAGUCAAUUUUGGACUUUUGUUUAGUAUUUUCUUUUUCUUUUUCUUGUGAAGAAAUUACCGAGAACUAGAGCAUGCUCUUGUGGAUCAACAAAGAAGAACAAGGCUUGUUGCGGUUCAACCACGACAAAAUCAUCUGCAGCACCUGUAAUGUAUUCUCCAUUUCUUCUUUCUGUUGAGAUGCUUUGAUCAGAGAUUGAAUACUUGUUUAUUUGUGUAUAGGGUAAAUCUUGUGCCGCAUUUCCACAUAGGUGACUUGUUGUUUCUUUUGCAUCAAUUAGGUGCCUUUUGUACCAGUCAGUCUCGUUAAAGUUGAUUAACGGUUGGGUUUUUAUCUAUUUAACGGGUUUCGAUUUUUGUUCGAGUCAGAUUUUGACCUAAACCUAGAAUGACUCAUUUAUUUUACCUAUAAAAUGGCCUUGUGCAAGUGCAUGACUGCAUGUACAAACGACAAGAUUUUUGGCAUAUGUUGCAGAUAAUAGGAUAUUACGAUGAAUUGCUUUAAAUUGAGACUAAUGGGAAGUAAGAAGUGAAAUUCUAUCUAACAUAAUUAUAUAUUAAAGUACUUUUAAAUAUUUGAAUACAAAAUAUUGAGAGACUUAACUUGCUAUUUCCUUUGCCAAACAUGUUCCCAGUAAAAGCAAAGGAGCUGCGAGUAAAGGGAAGAAAGGAAAGAUACAAAGUAAGAAAAAAGAAACAACAGGUGAAGAACCGCUUCAUCGAUCCGCACUGCUACCAGAUAUGGGAGCUCUUUGCAUUUAAUCAGUAGAUUCAAGGUAUUAUUUAAAAAACAAUUAAAUAUGCAAAAGGACAUCAAAGUUUUCUUUUUCCUUUUUCUUUUUUUAGCGGACUUGCUAAUUGAUUGUUCUGUAAGUGACUCAGGCACUUUUUGUUGGUUUGAAGAGAGUGUCGAGCUAAUUUUGAGGUGAGAUGUACUCCUUUGAGUCUCGACUGCGACACGGCAUGCGCGACACAGUAUAUUUCUCCCAGGUAAUGUGUAUUAUGGAAAUGGCGAUGUCCUGGUCAUUUAAUUGAUCAUAUUGGCUUAUUAUUUCAGGCCUUUAAUUGUGACAUGUACACAAUAUCGUCGGGAGGAUCAACGCCUCAAAAAGCACUUCUUCCUACGAGAAACACGUCUUGGAGAAUCUGCAGGUGCUUUUCAAGAUUCAAGUUACUUACAACUUGUCUAAAAAGCACGAAAAUUAUAAUUUGGGUUAUCAUUGUUGAAUGUUCAUGAACAGUUUCUUUUUCUUUUUUCCUUUACAUUCCUUAUGGUGCUUGUGGUUGUUAACCUAUAGUAGACAAUAAAUGAUAUAGUAUUAUGUGUAUUUGUUAUAAAUGCAGUAAAUGGCAAUUGCAUAUGAGCUCUCUUAAUGUUUAUUUGUGCUCAAUUGAAUUGUAAUGAUAUCUUUUUAGGUAAACACUUUAUGAGUUGUGUAUAGAAAUUAAGGUUCUUUGCGGAAAAUGGUUUUCUUUUGGUUGAAUUUCAUUUAACAAGAAGCAAUUAAAGGGCAUACUUGUCUUAAACUGUUCCAAUUCGAAUUCGCACCGAUAUUACUGGCCAAUUUAGGCAAUUUUUUGGACGGUUGUUUUAAUUCAUCAAUAGUUUUUAUUAGUUAGAUGCAGAAGUUUUAAAUUAGAGCUUUUAUUCUUAAAUAUUUUUAUAGGCUUCUGUAGCCAUUUAGUAGCCAUACCUUUUUUUUUUUUUUUGUCCGUAGAGCGUCUGCUUUUGCUUGUCUAAGAGAAGUGGCUUUAAAAGAGACUGCUGCUAGUGAGAAGCAGAAACUUGGAAUAAUUGUUGACUUCUGCCCCAAAACUACUUAGGGGCGGGAUGUAGUUAUAAAAAUAGUGUAGUUGAAAAUAAAUGCAGUUGCAGAUGCUGCAGUCGUAAUUAUAUCCGGUCCGUUUGGUUCUAUACAGCUGCAACUGCUGUAGUUACAUUUUUUCUAUUUGGUAGGCCUAAGUUAAGAUUUGUAUUUGUAAAUUCUGUCACUUUUAAGAUAGAGAGAUGGGAUUAACUCUCCUGAACACAAAAUAAUCAUAUGAUCUUUUAACAAUAGGUAAAAAAUAAAAUAAAAAACCUGACAACACAAUCCAGUGUACUAAGAUAACCAAAAAAAAUAUGUGACAUUAAUACAUGUAGCAUCAAUACAUAUAGCAUCAAUUAUAAAAUAUUAUAUUAAAAAUGAUAAAGUAUGUAUUAUAAAAUAGCAUCAAAUAUAAAUAUAAUUAAAAAAUAUUUUUGCUCUCUCUCCAUUGUAUGUUGAGUGAUUGUAAAAAAAAAAAAUAGUAUAUAAGACAUAAGGAAUAUAUAUAUCAAAAAGUCCACCUCUUUUUUUCUAUCUAUCCACCAACAUCACAUGACUACUUUUUUUUUUUUUUUUUUUUUUUUUUUUUUUUUUUUUUGAGGAGGAAAGGAAGGGAGAGACUAUUAUUUUUAGGAGGAAAGGAAGAGAGAGAGAGAGAGAGAGAGAGAGGGAGAGAGAAACUUACUACCCUCGGGCAGAAAAUGAGAGAGAUUUCAAUGGAUGGUGCAAAUAAAAACCCUUUCUGCAAUAAAAUGUGUGGAAAAAAUCACACAUUAAUUUUUUUUUUAUUGGUGAGCCACUUCAGUUCAAGUGUUCAACUGCUGGAAUUGGUAUUGCUGCCAAUUAGUUACAGUACCAACUGCAGUAGUUGGAUCUUCUCAUGCGAAUGCAAUUACAGCAGUUGGGUCUAAUUACACUAAAUUAAUUCAAAAAUUUAUGGUUAUAUGUAUUUCCAAUUGCACUGCAGUUAAAAAUACAUGCAACCAAACAACUCCUUAUAUGAAAAUAAGUGAAAAGAGCAAAAGUAAAUAUGGGGUAGAGAAAGGUUUUAGUUUCUUUUGAAAAUUUCUAUUUCACUUUAUCUUUUCUUAUCUUUUUGUUUAGCAAUUAAAGCAUUGAUAAGUUGAUAAUGCUUUGUACAGUCCUAUAAGAAGUAAUUUUUUUUUGGUAAAAUACAUGGAGAACUUACCCGCACUAUGUCCUAUUUUUAAUCGGCUAUUCAAUCUUUCAAAAUUUUAAUUUUGUUAUUCAAUUUUUUUAUUUAUUUGAUUUGAGUCAAUUAACGUAUUUUGAUUUCAAAAUUUUAAGCCAGCAUCAUUGUGAUUGAUGAUGUGAUAAUGAUUGAGGUACCACAUCAUUUCUAUAUCAACAACAAAUUAUUUUAGUCAGGCAAAUUGUGUUGCAAAUUUGAUUGCAAUAAUUUAUAAAGCUCGAACUAGAAAUUACAACUAAUUAAACUUUGAGAACCAAAAUGUCACGCUUCUUAUAUUUUACUGACCAAAAGUGUCAUUUAGCCUUUUCUCUUUGCUACAUUAUUUCUAAAAUAUUUUUUAGGGACUAACAAGAGAGGAAGAAAAAAGAGAUGCCACAUAAUGUUUGAAGGUAAAUAGAAAGUGAAAUAAAGGAGAAACUUCAAAUACCAGCUCGUAGUUUUACACUUUCUCACUUUAGUAUUCUGUUGUUUAAAAUGUAUCACUUUAAUACCCUGUUAUUUUAUUUUUCUCUUUCCGUUAUCCUCUCCAUUAAUGUUUUUUGUUCAAUCAGUGACAAAAUUAAAACCACAGAAUACUAAAGUAAAAGUUUGGUAAACCAAAGGAUAUUAAAGUAAAUAUUCGAUAAACCGUAGGUUGAGUAUUUGAAGUUUUUUUGUAUAUGAUUUAGCGAAGAGUCCACGGAGAUACUGACGGAAAAGAGAAAUAAAAUCAUAGGGUAUAAAAGUUAUACACUUUAAAUCACUAAGUAGUAAAAUAAAAAAAUGUGAAACCUUAAAAGGGUGGUAUUUGAAGUUUACCUUAAAAUAAAGGAACAAAGCAAUAAAUGGUCACAUGCCUUUAAAUCCCAUUGGGUAUAGGUAUUCAAUAAUUGUACCACAAACUGGCCUUGCUAUUGGACAACUACCAAAAGAUAAACACUAUGCUAAGGGUACCCUUAUAAAGGGUCCUACAAUGUUGAUGAGUUGGCCCUAUUAUUAUUAAAUACAAAAAUAUUAAACUUUAAACCAUAAAUGCCAUAAUUAUUUUCUAAAUUCUAAACUCUACACACAAAAUUUGCUAAUAGAUUAUAAGAUAUAGGAAAAGCUUCAAAAACUUCUCUUGUCAUUUCGUACUUUUUCACUUUAGUACAUGUAGUUUAAAGUGUAUUAAGUUAGUACCCUGUAGUUUCGCACUUUCUCACUUUAGUACCUUGUGAUUCAAAGUGUAUCAAGUUAGUACUCUGUGGUUUCAUUUUUGUAUCAAGUUAGUACCCUGUGGUUUCAAUUUUCUCUUUUUAUUAUCCAUUUUGUAGCAUUUUUUUCGUUGAAUCGGUGACAAAGUUAAAACUAAAUGGUACUAAAAUGAAUAUUCGAUAAACCUAGGUAGGAUAUUUGAAGUUUUUUGUAUAUAAUUUAACGAAAUAUUAAACCACAUGGUACUAAAGUGAGAAAGUGCGAAACCACAUGGUCAAUUCGGGAUUACUAUCAUCUAAAACGACUUAAAAGAAUGAAGACCCCCGUCCUCCUAAAAAAAAAUAGUAGUUGUACUUAGGUUUAAACGACCGAAACACCUGAUCGAGCUGGGGUCGCUCGUUCGCUCGUUAUAAACGAGCCGAACACGAGCUGCUCGUUAAUUAUCAGCCAAAAAAUUCAGCUCGUUUCGCUCGUUUUAUUAAAAACAGAGCUAACACCGAGCUGGCUCACGAACUGCCAACGAAUAAUAAAUUAAAAAGAUUAGAUUAAAUAAUAUAAAAAAUAAAUUAAUCAAUCUUUUCUAUAACUUUGAUCUAAUAUUGAAACUUUAUCAUAUAACGAUCUUUAUAAUUAAGCUCGCAUUUAGAUUUUUAUUUGGCAAAUAAAAUUAAUAAAAAUAAUAUUAUAUAUAAUUAUUAUUUAUAUAUAAAAUUAUAAAUAAAAAAAUUAUAUAAAUAUAUAAAUAUAUGUAUCGACUGUAUCUGACCGAACACCGAGCAUCGCUGACCCCGAGUCGUGUUCCUCCCGUUUAAAUAAACGAGCUGAAAAAAUCCAGCUGCGUGUCGCUCGUUACUAAAAACGAAGCAAUCCGAUCUCGAGCUCAUUCGAGUCGCAACACGACUGACUCGCAAACAGGAGCUGAUGCCACCUCCUAGUUUACUUUAAGAAUCUUACUGUUAUAGAACUAGCUACUAUAUACAUUCUGAUUUGAGUAUUUAUAUUUGGGGUAGUUUUACUCUGUUCCUACUAAAAAUUAAAAUAUUAUAGAUACCCUUACAAAAUUGUAAAUCACAAAUGCCCGCUUGUAAAUACUUAUCUUAAUUUCAAUUAGCCCGGGACGUAUUAACCUCCGUAAUUAUAUAGUUUUAAUCCAAAUUUUUUAUUGUAUAAAAAUAUAUUAAAUAUAAAUUGACUAUUUUGCCCUUUAUUUUGAAUCUCAUGGUGGUAUAGCCGAUAUUUAUUCUCCUAUUAACUAAUAAAAAUAAUGUGUAUAAGACGCCUCAAAUGUAGAUUAUUUUGAAACAGGCCCAUAAACUUUUUUUUUUUUAACUUUUCUUUGGUCCAUAUAAUUGACAAAUUUGUCAAAACUAAGUUGUUCAUUUGCUAUAAGUUAUUUAUUCUUUAGAAAAAAAAGCCAAUCAAAGUCGUCAUAAAUUGAUAUAAUUGUUGUUUAAAUUUACAAAAUUCUUGUUUUAAUGCUUGAAAUAAAUCAAAGAAAAUAAAAGAGAAGAGAGUCAAAAAAUAUUUAAUAACGUUAAAGAGCUAUUUCAAAAUAGCUUAUCAUUGAGAGAGUUCCAUAUAUUUUCUAUGUUAGAAAAGAUAGCUGCAUUUAUUUAAAAUUAUUCCGUAAUUUUUCCGUAACAUUUCAUAAUUAUUCUGAAAUUAAUUUUUAUAACUAAUUUUAAAAGAUUUGCUGACAAUUUUUAUGGGAUUGCUUAUUAGCAUCUAAUUAAAAAAUUUUUAUAGCAAUUUGCUUAAUAUUUUUUCAAAAAAUAUAAUUAAUUCACUAAUAAGUAUAAGUAAAGUGUAUUUAUAAGUUAAAAUUCAGAAGGCAUUGAUGAAAAGUAGAACAAGGGGUAUAAUAGGAAUUUGCUUACUGUUUAUUUCAGCUUGGAUGGAAAGUUACAUAUAAAGGUAGUUUUAAAAGUUUUUCAAAAUCAGAGGGGUAUUUAUUAUAUUUCAAUUUUAUAAGGGUAUUAGUGAAAAUAUGUACUUUUAGAAGGGCAUUGAGUAAACUUUUCCAAUAAAGGUUUAUAAGAGCAAUUGUGAUAAGAGUAAAACGGGUAUAAAGUUUGUUAGUUAAAAUUUUAACGAAAAAUUAUUUUAAAGGUUAUUUGAAAGCUUUUCAUAUAUAGAGGGAUAUUCAGUAUAUUUUAUUUUUUAAAGGGGUAUUUAUGUAAAUAUUAGUUUUUGAAGGGGUACUUAGCAAAAUUUUCCUUUAUAUUUUAUAGGAAAAACUUUAAAUUACCAUCCAUGUGGUUUCAUACUUUCUUACUUUAGUACCAUAUGGUUUAAAGUGUAUCAAUUUAGUGUCAUGUGGUUUCUUUUUUUUUAUUAUCAAUUCCAUUAAUUUUUUUUUUUAAAUAAGUGACAAAAUUAAAACUAAAGAUACUAAAGUGAAUAUUCGAUAAACCUAAAUAGAAUAUCUGAAGUUGUUUGUAUAUAAUUUAACGAAAUAUUAACGAAAAAGCUGACGAAAAGAUAAAAAUAAAAUCACAUGACACUAAUUUAAUACACUUUAAAUUAUAAAGUACUAAAAUGAGAAACUGUGAAACUACAGGGGUGGUAUUUGAAGUUUACCCUAUUUAUAUUAUAAGAAUUUUCAGAGGCAGGAAAUGGUCCCUGCAAUUAUUGUGCAUGGUUGAUGGUUGAUGGUACUUGUUGUGUUUUUUUUGCCCAAAUAAAAGCAAAAAAGGAUGUACCAUAGACACUGAUCUCUAUUGGUACUUAGUCUCUUGAACAGUGACAGUGCACUUGUACUAAACUACUAAUAGGUUUGUUAUACUGGAAAUUAGAAAAAAUCAUUUUGUCAUGCACUGCUAAUAAUACAGAUGCAUACAAACAGAAAAAAAAAUCCAACAAUACCAAAAAUAGAAAAAAAAGGGGCCAAUUUGCAUAAAAAAUCCACUAAUUUUGGGUUUUUUAUAAAAGUGGGCCACCUUUUUCGUUUUUGCAGAUUCGGUCUGAUUUUUCAGCAAACUGACCAAAAUGCCCUUGUAUCUUUUUCUCUCUCCUUUUUUUUUUUGUCGUUCUUUUUCCCUUUCUCUUCCCAAAGAGCGGCGAGGUGGAAACGUCACCCCCUCCCCCGGCGACGUCGCCCUCGCCCGCUCCGGCGACGUUGCCGGCAACGAGCCCCUCUCCCCUGCCUCGACCCGAAUCCUCCGACCAAAAAGGGGGUGACGUUUCCGCCUCGCCUCUCUUUGGGAAGAGAAAGGAAAAAAGAACGACAAAAAAAAAGAGGAGAGAGAAAAAGGUACAAGGGCAUUUUGGUCAGUUUGCUGAAAAAUCAGACCGAAUCUGCAAAAAUGAAAAAUGUGGCCCACUUUUGCAAAAACCCAAAAUUAGUGGAUUUUUUAUGCAAUUGUCAGAAAGAAGAGAUCUAUAUUUGCAUGGUUGGACAAUUUCUUAUAGGAAAAACUUCAAAUACCCCUCUUAUGGUUUCACUCUUUUUCACUUUAGUACCAUGUGGUUUAAAGUGUAUCAAAUUAGUACUCUGUGGUUUCGCAUUUUCUCACUUUAGUACCCUGUGGUUUAAAGUGUAUUAAGUUAGUACCCUGUGGUUUCGUACUUUCUCACUUUAGUACACUGUAGUUUAAUAUUUCAUUAAGAAAAAAAUAAAACCACAUAGUAGGGCCGGCAAAUGAGCGAGCCGGCUCGCGUUCGAUUCGAUAUUUGGCUCGCUCGAGCUUGACUCGAAAUUAAAUGAGCCGAGCUUGAACAAAAAAAAAGGCUCGAAAUUUAUUUCAAGCCGAGCUUGAGUAUUACUCGGCUCGUUCGAAUUAGGCUCGAAAAGCUCGAAAAGCUCGAAUAUAUAUAUAUAUAUAUAUAUAUAUAUAUAUAUAUAUAUAUAUAUAUAUAGUAGAGCUACUAUGCUAUCGAAAGUAUAGAGGAUAUGGUGCUUUCGAUUUUUUGAUUCUUAGAUCAACCCCUUUAAUCAUUUCUUUGAAUUAAUACUAUUAUUAUCUUGUAGGGACCACUCAAUCCUAGGGAUAUUAUUUAAUCCUAGNNNNNNNNNNNNNNNNNNNNNNNNNNNNNNNNNNNNNNNNNNNNNNNNNNNNNNNNNNNNNNNNNNNNNNNNNNNNNNNNNNNNNNNNNNNNNNNNNNNNNNNNNNNNNNNNNNNNNNNNNNNNNNNNNNNNNNNNNNNNNNNNNNNNNNNNNNNNNNNNNNNNNNNNNNNNNNNNNNNNNNNNNNNNNNNNNNNNNNNNNNNNNNNNNNNNNNNNNNNNNNNNNNNNNNNNNNNNNNNNNNNNNNNNNNNNNNNNNNNNNNNNNNNNNNNNNNNNNNNNNNNNNNNNNNNNNNNNNNNNNNNNNNNNNNNNNNNNNNNNNNNNNNNNNNNNNNNNNNNNNNNNNNNNNNNNNNNNNNNNNNNNNNNNNNNNNNNNNNNNNNNNNNNNNNNNNNNNNNNNNNNNNNNNNNNNNNNNNNNNNNNNNNNNNNNNNNNNNNNNNNNNNNNNNNNNNNNNNNNNNNNNNNNNNNNNNNNNNNNNNNNNNNNNNNNNNNNNNNNNNNNNNNNNNNNNNNNNNNNNNNNNNNNNNNNNNNNNNNNNNNNNNNNNNNNNNNNNNNNNNNNNNNNNNNNNNNNNNNNNNNNNNNNNNNNNNNNNNNNNNNNNNNNNNNNNNNNNNNNNNNNNNNNNNNNNNNNNNNNNNNNNNNNNNNNNNNNNNNNNNNNNNNNNNNNNNNNNNNNNNNNNNNNNNNNGUUUAGGGCUCGAGCUCGCUCGACUCGAAAUUAGGCUCGCUCGAGCUCGGCUCGAAUUAAUUUCAAUCCAAGCUUGAGCUUAAAUUUAAGCUCGAAAUUAAUUUCAAGCCGAAUUUGAGCCGAGGUAAGCUCGCUCGAGCUCGGCUCGUUUCCACCCCUACCACAUAGUACUAACUUGAUACAAAAAUAAAAUCACAGGGUACUAACUUGAUACAAAACUAAAACCAUUGAGUACUAACUUGAUACACUUUAAGCCACAGGGUACUAAAGUGAAAAAGUGCGAAACCACAUGAUACUAACUUGAUACACUUUAAAGCACAGGAUACUAAAAUGAAAAAGUGCGAAACCAUAGGGAGGAUUUUUGAAGUUUUUCUUUUCUUAUAUUAUAGAAAGAGCGAAAGAGAUGUAUUUUACUGUGAAGAAACAAAAGUACAAAAUUACAUUUUAUAUUUUCGGAAGUAAAAAAUUAAGAGUUUUAUGGUGAAAUCAAUAUUCUUUUGUUCCAACGAGAACUAUAAAAAAAUCAUCAGAAAGAGCUUUUAGGGAAAAAAUGACAGAAUUUUAAAAAAUAUAUAGAAAUCUUUGACCAAAUUUUUUUGUGCAAUUGCUCUGAAUGAUUCGAACCGCUCAGAUAAUUGGUCCACAACUUCUGCCCUGCUGUGUAAUCCAAUUGGGAAUUAUAAAAUUCAAAUACUAGUCAACAUUUAACCGUUGAAAUUAAUAUCUAUCAAUAGUGGGCCCCACAACCAAAUUGGGCUUGGAUCUGAACUCCUGUUCACAUGAGAACCCCACCCAAUAAUAUAAAGAGAAAAAACUUCAAAUAUCACCCCUAUAAUUUCGCACUUUCAAUUUAGUACCUGUAGUUUUACUUUUUUAUUUUUAUUAUUCAUUCCACUAUUUUUUUUUUUCGUUAAAUCAAUAACAACGUUAAAACUAAAGAAUACUAAAGUGAAUAUUCGAUAAACCUAGGUGGGUAUCUGAAGUUUUUUAUAUAUAAUUUAACGAAAUAUUAACGGAGAAGCUGAGGAAAAGGGAAAAAUGAAAUCACAAGGUAUUAACUUGAUACACU
rnacentral:lncRNA from 1 species